UCAAAUACAUUAACAAUAAAGAUUUAUUGGUAUGUAAAAGCUACUUUAUUUAAUCUGGCCAGUGGCUGAGGGUAUCAGCAAACUUCUACAGUUUGUGUUAUUUUCACAUUAUUGAAGAUUUCAAUGAAUGAGCAGCUUCCUAUGGAUAGAAUUCAAGGAUUAGCUUCUACUUGGUGUAAAGCACACAGUCUUUUUGAAAGUUUUCUCUUACAUAUACAAUGAAGGAUCAGGUAGCUUUGAUUUAUUCAUUUAAAUUUGGUCUCUAUCUACUUUUUGUUUUCUUUUUCUUUUCUAAAAGGGAUCUCUUAUCCUCCUAAGCCUUUGCACUUUUCUCUUUGNCUUAAUGAAUUUCUUCUUUUAUCAUAUAAAAAGAAAAUGCAUAUUUUUCUGAUUAUUCAACGCCAGGUAAGAAUUAAUUUUAGAAGAAUGCUCCAAUUAAAAAUACAGGGGAGAAAUAUUACACACAGAUAGUUAUUGUUUAAAGCAAAAGAAUUUGCGAUUGAACAGAACAAUUCGGUAAGUUUGGCAGAAAGAUAAAGAAAAGUACAAUACCUUAGGUGGCAAGUGAUUUGAUAACAAUGCAUUAGUCCUUCUUAAUAUGAACUGCAAAAUUAUAUAGUCCAGUCAAUCUUCAGGAAAAAAAUAUUUCCUUAUCAGAACACAAAAGAAACGUGUUGCACUUCAUUACCAUUCAGCUAUCUGCUGUAUAAUAGACUAUUUUAGUUAUCAAGCAGGAUUAAUACUUCAAUUGCGAUAAGUAAAUAAUACAACUCUCAAAAGGUACAUAGUAAAAUCCCAAUCGCACACAUUACCCUAUUAACAUUGACACUUAAUUCAGCAGAGCGUUCAGCACCUAUCUUCUUCUCUUCAACAGUGGCUGCAGGUUCUCUUCCACAAAUAAUUGGUGCCUUCAAAAUUCAAGUAAACCAUAGCAAAAAACUAAAAAUUAGAAUAAAAGAGAAGGGGGGAGAACCAUUGUCCUAUUCCAGCAUCACAUCUGGCAAAAGCAUUCUGAAGUUGGUUUAUCUUGUUAUCUUAAAUAGUCCUUACAUACUAUAUAUUAACAACUGGAUAACUCCUCUUUCCUAAUUAUUGGUAUAUUCUGAGUUUUUGACAUAGGACAAGCUAUAGAUUUUGCAACAAUGCGCAUCGAAAAUAUAAAAAGUAAUCACCUCAUAGUAACGUCGAAAAUGUGCAAUACUGCCCAAUAUUCCAGGAUUGGUAAAGUUAACCAUUGCAAAGAAUUCUUCUAAAUCAUUCUGCAAGUGACGGAUGUCCAUAAAAGUUAACAAUAAUAAAAACUAAUAGGAUUUAGGAUUUUGGAUUGUAAUCAACAACACAAAUGGAUAAUCAUGCAUAGAUCCUCACCUGUAAGGGAGUUCCUGACAAUAAAAUUCUUCGUUUGCAGGGAAGAGCUGCCAAUGCCUAAUACAGAAAGUUUAGUCAGAAACUCAGAAACAUGCCAGCAAAGGAGGGAGAGAAAAUAAGUCUUACAAAUUACAAUACCCGGUUUGUUAUUGUUUGAUCAUUUUUCAAUCUGUGAGCCUCAUCACAUAUGAGAAGGUCACAUGAGUCACUAGAGCUAAACUUUGAAGAAUGCAUUCGGAAUGUCUCAUAUGAAACAAUGAGAACCUACAAAUUGGGGAAUACUAACUAAGUACUCAUGUAGUCCAAGAUAUCUAAGCAACAGAAUAAUGGUUAGAAACUUAUAACCUGUAAAUUUCUUUCGGGAUUUGUAAAACUGUCAAUCGCAGAGACAACAUCUUCUCUUGAACUCUCACAUAGAGCGACAAGACGAACUCUUUCACCAACCCACUUUUUUAUUUCAGCUUCCCAAUUACUGACAAGGCUGGUAGGAGUCACUAUGAUAGAUUUUCGAACCAAUGGCUUGCCAUCAAACCCUUGACAAAGUAGAGUAUAUAGUAAUGUGAUGGACUGCAAUGUCUUCCCCAGACUGUACAACAAAGGGAGCCCUGUGAUUAAAGAAGGUGGGGAGGAAGAAAAGGAUACUAUGGCAAUGACAAGAUUUCAAAUAAAGAAGUUACCCCAUAUCAUCUGCCAAAAUGCAUCCAUGUAUAUUUGGUGUGGUACACAGACCAGAGACACAAUCAAACAUGAACUGAACCCCUUCUCUGCAUCAAGAGAGAUAAAAGAAAAGUUUAUUUGGUUGAUACUGAAUUGAGUUAAAGUAUGAGAAAUGGGAUGCAAGGAUGGUGACCUCUGAUGUGGACGAAGGUAACGAACAAGCAAAGGGUCAACUGUAAUGGUGGUAAAAUUAGUAUUAGAGGGGUCAUCGUGGGAGUCUUGAGGGUGCCACAGUACUAAAGGGUCGAUCCCCGGGGGCAGAGAUGGUUUCGGCUCCUCAGAAACAGGAACAUUAACAUCACUUACCGAUACGUUGAAUUGGAAGUCGGGGAUGGCAGGUCUAGGAAUAGGAGAGGAAGAACCCCAGGGAACAAACCUUUUGCGAGCGGAAAGCCUACGAGUGAGGUCUUGAUUGUAAGUGGAAGCAUGAGUUUUGGAAGAUGGAGGUUUAAAGGGUUUUCUACACACGGCCGCCCCUUGCGAUACUGAAAGAAGCCGCGGUAGCAGCGACUGUCUCUUCACGACAAGAUUACCCCUGCAAUGCAAUUCAAUUCAACAAUUCAAUCCUGAUGGAAUAAUAAUUAAUGAAAUAGUUUGCUUACCUUACUAGUGCAUCCACGUUCUGCGAUUUCCGUUCUUCGUUAUCUUCCUCUCCCGAAUCAGAAGAACAAAAAUCAGAUUUCCGUUCUUCGAUAUCUUCCUCUCCCGAAUCAGAAGAACAAGAAUCAGACGAACACCAAACCAUUUCAUCUUCCUCCAUUCCCAACUCACCCCUUCCCGCCAGACCUAAUCAUUUAAAUUUAUACCUUUUCUUUUAUCCCAAGAUUCAUUUCUUUCACCCUCACUUCUACCUUCUGAUUUACUUUCACACAUACAAUUUAACUCACUACACUCUUUUUUUUUUUUUUUUCAUUUUACACCAAAAACUACUUUAUAUUUUUGAUAGAAUAAUAGUAAUAUUAAAAUGUUAGCCUUGUUAGUUUAUUUUACAUUUAUAUUUAUAAACUAUAUAGAGUGAGAGACUUAAAUUAUAAAUUUUUAAAUAUUUUUUUAAUUUCAAUAUAAUAUAUAUUUAAAUAUUUAUAUAUUUACCAAUAUAAAAACACGGCUUUAAAACUAAUUGUUAACUAAAAAUAUAUUAUCUUAAAUGUCUUUUUUACUUUUAUUAAAAUAUUAUUAUGAAUAAAUUCUUUUUAAUUCUAUUAUUAUUAAUUUAUAUAUAUAUAUAUAUAUAUAUAUAUAUAUAUAUAUAUAUAUAUAUAUAUAUAUCAUUUUGUUUAUUAAUAAAAUUCAUAAAUGAAACUGAAAAAAGUGGUGUGACAUUGGCGAGGUAUAGUACCAACAGAACAAAAAGAUUUAAUUUUAAAAGUAUGAUAUAUUUUCAUAAAUAAUUUUAAAUGUUUUAAAAUAAAAUAAAAUGUGUGUUUUAAUAUGGAAUUGUAAAAGAAGUCAAUUUUCUUAAAACGAUAAAGGAUAGAUUUAUAAUUUAAAAUUUCACUGUUUUAAAUUUUAGUUAAGAAAAAAAAAUCUAUUUUUCAAUUUAUAUCUAUUCUCUUAAUAUUUUUAUUUCAAAUUUAAAUUGAGACAUGAUUGACUUGAUUUUAAUGGUACUCAUUGGUUAAGUAAAAGUUAAACAACCUAAAUGGUACUCAUAAUAUUUUUAUAUUGUCUAGAAUAUUCUAAAAAAAUUAUAGAAAUUUCUUUAUAUUAAAUUAUUCAAUUUUUAUUAUAAAAGAAUUAAAAUAUUUUUUUUAAUUCAUAAUUUUUAUUGAUAUUUUAGUUAAAAAAAAUAAAAUAAAAAAGUAAAUGACAUUUUAUUGGAAUAUGAAAGAGAGACUAACAUUUGUUAAGAAGUUUAUCAAGGUAAAUGUGAGAUUAUAAAGGCUUAAUAGCAUGGUCUCUGUUUAAAAUAAUUUUAUGACUAUUUAAAGUAAAUAAAAUUAAAAUUUAAAAAUAAUUUUAAAUAAAAUUUAAUAUAAAAUAUAAAUUUAAACAAAUUUAUUUUUAUUAAAAAUAUUUAAUAGAAAUAUCAAAUUUAAUAAAAAUAUUUAUUUAACGUCUGUAUAAAAGUUAAUUUUGAUUUGUCAAUUCGUAACCAAAUUUCUCAAUUUAAAAUAAAAUAGAAAAUAUAUAAUAACCAAACUAAAAUUAAGACAAUUAUAAUUUAUAUGACAAUGACAUUGUCACUCUCCAAUUACACUACCUCUCACAUCACAUUACCAUUUCAAGUAAAAUAACAUCAUCUUAACAUAUAACAAAUUUAAUUUUAUAAAAAAAUUAAAAAAAUCAUAACCUGACACAUAAUACUUUUUUUUAUCAUGAUUAAUAUCAUAUUAACAAAAGUAACCUUAUUUCAUCAAAAAUUUUUAGAUGAAAAUUAAAUUAGAACAUAUAAAAACCUAUUUAAAAUUUUCUUAGAAAAAGACAUAAUUUAACCUCUAUAUACUUAUACUUACAUAUUUACAUGUUAAAUCAAACCGGAUAUAAGUUAUUUAAGUAAUGUUUUGUAUUUAAGUAUUGCAAAUAAUGGAAAUAUUUCAAAAACAAAUUUUUAAUUUUGUUGAUAAAUAUUAAAAAAUGUUCAAAACCUAUAGAUUGUAUGUGUUGAAAUUUUAAUAACUAAAAAUAUACAUUCGUUUUAAAAACAUGGCUGUUGAGGCCCAAAGGGAAGGGUGACAUAAUUAGGGGACAGUGGUAGCAGCAGCCGCCACCUUAUUAAAUUACACGACACGUAACUCUCUCUUUCCUCCACUUAUUUAUUUCCAACUAUGACCAAACAUCGGCUCUAACAAUGCUUUUAAAAUUAACAUUAUUCUUUUAAGGAAAAUUAUUUUUUUAUUCCUAUUAGAAACUUUCCUUCUCAGAAUCCCUCACCACAUAAAUUCUUAAAUAAUAAUGAGAAGAGAAAAAAAAAUAAGUAAAAAAUAAUUUAUAUAUUAUCUAUAUAUAAAUAUUUAUACAUCAAAAUUAUAACAUGAUUAAUUAUAAUUCUAUUUAAUCUAUCAAUUAUAUAUACAAAAUAACAAACAGAAAUAAUAACAAAUAAAAUCUUAAAAUCUAGAAGGAUAUCAAAUAUUAAAUUUUAACAAAUAUUAAAUCCUAACAUAAUUAUUUCUUUAAUUUAAUUUUAAUAGAAUCAAAUUGUGUUAGAAACUAAUAAUUAAAAUUAUGGUCGUUUUUACAAAUUUUAAAACUUACUACCGAAGAUGUUUAAAAUUAUGUUUCUAGAUUUGGUGAGGAGAAGCACGUGGAGGAUUUGAAUGGGAAUGGAAAGAAAGAAUAGUUAGGGAUAAAGAAUGUGUAAAAUGGAAGGAAGAAAAAUGAACAGAGUGGUGAUGACAGUAGAAGUAGAAUAAGAGAGAGAUAGAGAGAGAGGAGAGAGGGUGGGAACGAGGAUGGGUGAGAGUGGGGACGAGGCUCUGACGCCGGCGGGGAGGCUUUUCCUGCAAGAAGAAACGAAGCAAGUGAUCAACUGCGUGAUAGGGUUGAAGAAUCCCAUCGACGUGGAGUUAGUGAAAUCCGAAGUGCGGAAGUCAACCAUGCUCCAACACCCGCGCUUCAGCAGCCUGAUGGUGAGAGACGAAAGAGGAGUGGAGCACUGGCGAGCCACCCAAGUGGAGAUUGAUCGGCACUUCCGCAUAAUCAAGGAGGCGCUGGGUGAGGAAGGGGAUGAACGGGCCAUCAACGGCUACCUUGCGGAACUAUCUAUUGACUUCGAUGGGCUUAGCAUGGAUAAGCCUCUCUGGGAAAUCCAUCUUCUCAUGGCCCACAACUGCCUUAUUUUCCGAAUCCAUCACGCCCUUGGUGAUGGUAUUUCCUUGAUGUCUAUGUUCCUUGCCAGCUGCAGGAAACUCAACGAUCCCCAAGCUCUCCCUGCCAUCGCUUCUCCUUCAAAUAUCUCUUACCCUCCCUUCAAUUUCUGGAAUCUCCUCGCCACUCUCUGGUUUUCUUUCCUCUUUGUCCUCGACUUUAUCCUCAGGUGUUUUUGGGUUCGUGACCCCAGAUCCUCCAUCACCGGUGGCGCCGGCGUUGAACUCUGGCCCCGCAAAAUUGCUACUGCCACUUUCUCCCUUCAAGACAUGAAGACCGUCAAGACUGCCGUUAAUGCGGUAAAUUUUCCUUUUCUUGUCCCUCACUCUUUUCUUCUUUUAUUUUUAUUACUAUAUACCAAAUCAAAUUAUUCUUCCUCACCCUCCUCAUUUUAGGCAUCCUAAAUUGACAACUCCUACUUUUCCAUAACUCGAAUUUCUUCACGGAAACAAUAUUUAAACAAUAUUCACCUUUCUUCAUACUUCUUUUUUUUAUUUCUGCUUUAUAUUACGGGAUCGUCUUCUUUUUUUUUUUUAACAGUUUAAUAGUUACCUGUUCCCCCCUCCGAUGAAUAAUUUCAUCAAUUUACUUCAAACUGAUCAAUAUUGUAUGGUUAUAUAUUAUUUUGUUGAAAAUUGAUAAAUUUUAUAUUAUUGUCCAAUCUCACAUUUUGACUAACCCCUACCAGAAUAUAUAAUGAUUAGCUUAACGUAUAAUGAUUAGCUUAACGUUGACAAUUUAUGGUGAAAAAGUUGCUGGUUUUUUUAUCACAUGUUUAAUGAUCCCACUUUCCACAACCCCCUUUUCUUGACAAAAGGCAAAUAUUAGAAAAACGCUAGUAAAUUAAAAAAGUCAGUUUAUCUUUUCAAAUUUGGAAGUUUUCAUUCGGGUUGUAGGGAACAUAUGUAAGGUUUAGAAACGUCAAUUGUUAAAAUUUCUUCCUGAUAUGGUCAAACCCCAAAUCCUAGCUAAUGUUAGGCAGCUAGUGUAGUUUCUUUCGUAUGAUACUAUCCUAAGUAAUGCCUUCCACAAAAAAGAUGUGGUGGAAAUGUACUUGUAAGUUCUUCAUGAGUGUUAUAUUUUUAUGGCGAUAUGUUGGACCCAGAUCUAUCUUUAAGAUAACAGGUCUUAUUGUUAAAACACUAUUAAGUGUGGCGAUAGGUAGGCUAUCCUUAAAAUAAGUCUUUUUCCUCCAUAAGUCUUGUUUCUCAAAAACUAGAAAUAUUCUAAUGAUAGGUGGAAUUUCAAAUUACUUAAAAUAAGACUUAUCACAUAAGACUAGUUAAGAUAUAAUAACACUAAUAAUAUUAAUAAAUAAAUGAGAGUAUCUUUGUAGUAUUAUUACAACUAAAUGGAAAUAAAUACGUAGUUUAGCAUAAAUUACAAAUCUGCCGAUUAAUAAAAUAAAUCCUAAUAUGAGUAAGUAGGAUGAAAUAAUCAUCAAAUAGGUGAAUAAACGAUAGAUACGAAAUAGAAAAUUAGGGAUAUGAACCAUAAUAUAGUAUUAUAGAAAAAAGCGAAGACAGACUUCACUAACUCUUCGUUCUUGUCAACAUACAAAUAUACCAGUAUCUAUGAAUACUUUUCGUUCUUGUGAUUGUUAAUUUUUGCUAUUGUGCAGACCAUAAAUGACGUUCUAUUUGCAGUUAUAUCGUGUGGGAUAUCUAGAUACUUGGACUUCCGAGCACCUAACGGUAAAAUUCUGUUGUAUUUUCUAUUGAACAAAGCUUGCCUUUUUAAUUAUGUUCAAAAGGCGUGCCUGCAGUCAAACACACACAUGAUCAUAAUUGAUUAAAUAAUAUUUUUCUAUAAGGGCUGCGAGACGGUGUUCAGCUGACAGGGUUAGCUAUGGUUAAUUUAAGAAAGCAACCAGGGUUGCAGGUCUGCUCUUGCCUUGCACAAAAAUACUUUCCUUGUACACCUGUUUUCAAUCUACAACUUUACUGAGGUAGGAUAAAAAUGAAUUAUUUUUAUUCAUCAGGAUUUGUCCAAUUUGAUGAAAAGCAAUUCAGGAGCGAGGUGGGGUAACAAAUUUGGUAUGAUUCUGCUGCCAAUAUAUUACCACAGAAGCAACUUUUCAGAUCCUUUAGAAUAUUUGAAGAGAGCUAAGGCAACGAUUGACAGAAAGAAACGAUCUCUAGAGGCCAGUUUCUCAUACAAAAUUGGAGAUUUUGUAAUGUCCACCCUUGGUCCAAAGGUCCACUUCCUUUUUCCUCGUUUUCAGACUAUUUUAGUGGUAAAGUAGAAUAUUUCAACCAUCGUUAGUCUUCAGCAAACACAAUGCUGUUUUAUCUCUAUGUUGCAGUUUGCUGGCCUUCUAAAUUACCGGAUACUCUGCCACACCACCUUUACAAUCUCAAACGUAGUAGGUCCACAAGAGGAGAUUAUGAUUGGAGGCAAUCCUAUUACGUUUUUAAGGGCAAACAAUUCUGCCUUGCCACAUGUAUGCCCCCCUAAUAUCUGUUUUUCCUCACGGAUUAAGUACUUCAAACUUGAGAGCGUACUUGUAGGUGAAUAUAGUUAUGAUCAUUGUUGUUGGCUGGUUUUGUAAUGCAGGCGCUGAUUUUGAAUAUGGUGAGCUAUGCUGGAAGGGCAGACAUGCAAGUGCAGGUGGCCAAAGACAUCAUUCCUGAUCCUGAGUUUCUUGCCAAGUGCUUUGAAGAUGCAUUGCUUGAAAUGAAGGAGCGGGUUACGGCCAAAAUCUGACUUAUGGAGAAAUUAGAUUUUGAUAAAUGUGAUAAAAUUAAUGUAUGUGAAAUAUUGAGAUGCUUACAAUCACAGGCAAGUAAUUUAGAUUAUCACAACAUUUACUUAAAUGUUAUAUAGGACUUAAUUGUGAUACAUUCUGCUCUCUCUUAAGAUCCACACCGGUGGCAUAUGUAUAUUUGGGUUAAAAUCUGUUUACAUUUGGUGUGUUAAAAUUAGUUAAAUUACAUCCGUAAUAAAUAACUUAUAAUAAACAAAUUUAAUCAUUCCAAUUGAUGACAUUUUCCAACGUAUAUAAAUCAUUAGUAAAGUUGGUAGACUCAUAGUGCUAUCCCUAUAUGCGUCUAUCGUAUAUAUUAUGAUAUUAGCAGGACUUAUACGUAAUAAGUUCAAAGGAUUGGUAGACAGUAUUGGAAAUGUCGCAAAGACAAGUACAAAUAUGAUAUGAUUGGGUCUCUAUCAUCUCAGCAUUUAGCGCUGAUUAAACAAGUACUCUGUUUAAGCGUUUGUUAUCCAUCCAACCCUUUGGAAGGAAAUGACGACGAAAUGUGGUCUAAAAUAAGAUUGAAACGGCGUGUUUGAAUAGUUUGGAAGGGCAUGGUAUGACGCACGGGAUUACGAAGUCUGCUAACACCCUGACGCAAGGGAUUACGUAUUCUGCUUUGUAUUUUAAAUUUUGAAGAGAAGAAAAGUAGUCUCGACCGUUGUCAGCAAUGGAUCGAUUAAGGAUCAAUUGCUGCUGUUCAGUAUUUUAUUAUAUGACAAAUUCUGACACGGUGAUCCAUUUGUUAUAUAGUUUUACAUGUUACUGGGGGAAAAAAGGGAACAGAGUCCGCUAGAAAACAACUUGAGACAGACUAGCUAUAUGUUGUAAAGCUGGAAGGAUUUGGUUGAGGGGCAAAUAAAAUCCAGUGUGUUAGUGUGAGUGAGGGGAAUAUGGAUGCGAAAGGAAAACUAAAGGUAAUGUUUCUUCCUUUUCCUGGUCAAGGACACUUGAUCCCAAUGGGUGAUAUGGCAAGAGCAUUCAGUGGAAGAGGGGUGAGGGCAACUAUAGUCACCACUCCACUCAACGUACCCGCUAUUCGGGGGACCAUAGGAAAAAGCUCAGAUUUAGACUCCGACUCGGAGAUAGAAAUCGUCACCAUUAAAUUCCCUUGUGCAGAGGCUGGCUUACCUGAGGGAUGCGAAAAUACAGAGUCAGUCCCCUCUCCAGACUUCAUACCCGCUUUCUUCAAGGCAACCAGCAUGCUACAGCCCCAAUUGGAACACCUCCUUCUUCAACACUCACCACACUGCCUUAUUGCCAGUGCUUUCUACCCCUGGGCAUCUCACUCUGCAGCUACAUUCAAUAUCCCAAGGCUUGUAUUUUAUGGCACCGGUGUCUUCGCCUUGUGUGCUUCAGAAUGUCUGCGACUCUACCAGCCUCACAACAAUGUUUCUUCUGACUCUGAUCUAUUUGUUAUUCCUCAUCUUCCGGGAAACAUCCAUAUGACAAGGAUGAUGUUGCCCGAUUACGCUAAAACUGACGGGGAAACUAAAUACGCAGAACUGUUGAAGGCAAUCAAGGAAUCGGAGGUCGCAAGCUUCGGGGUUAUUGUUAACAGCUUUUACGAACUGGAGCAGGAGUACGCUGAUUAUUACGAAAAGCUGCAGGGGCGGAGGGCGUGGUACAUAGGUCCGCUUUCUCUGUGUAACCAACAGGAACGCAAAGGCAAGCGAGGGAAGGAAGCCUCGGUUGACGAAGGGGACAUUUUGAAGUGGCUGGAUUCGAAGAAAGCCAACGCAGUGGUGUACGUCUGUUUUGGUAGCAUAGCCAACUUCAGCGAAAGUCAGUUGAGAGAAAUAGCGAGGGGACUUGAGGAUUCGGGACAAGAAUUCAUAUGGGUUGUGAGGAGAAGUGACAAGGAAUGGCUUCCGGAGGGGUUUGAGAGAAGAACAGAAGGAAGAGGAAUGAUUAUUUGGGGAUGGGCACCUCAACUUCUGAUUCUUGACCAUCCAGCGGUGGGAGCCUUUGUGACACACUGUGGAUGGAAUUCAACGCUGGAAGCUGUGUCCGCUGGCGUGCCCAUGGUCACUUGGCCCGUUUCUGCUGAACAGUUCUACAAUGAGAAAUUAGUGACGGAGAUUCUUGAAAUUGGGGUCCCUGUUGGUGUUAAAAAAUGGGCUAGAAUUGUGGGAGACAGUGUUGGCGGUGAGGCGCUUGAGAAGGCACUAAAAAGAAUAAUGGUAGGGGAAGAAGCAGAGACUAUCAGAAACAGAGCACACAAACUGUCAGAGAUGGCAAGAACUGCUGUGGAACGCAACGGAUCAUCUUCCUGUUCCCUCACUGAUCUGAUACAACGCCUUCAGUCGAUUCAAAAUUUCCCAAAAUCAUCUGAAUGACUCGUGUGUGUGGAUAUUUUAAGAGAUUGAUACAAACAUAAAAGAAAAAUUAAUUUAUUUAUGAUUGUAGGAAUGAAAAGAGGAGAAAAUAUGAUGUUUUUUCCAAUGGUAUGGUUUAUAUAAUAUAUGUAGUUAAUGUGUGAAGAGUUUUUGAAAUGAGAUUUUGUGAUAUUUAAAGAAAAAUAUUGUUCAUAAUAUUAUAACAAAAAAUUAGAAUGAUGUUGGAUAAAUUAAAAUAGAAAACGCAAUUUUGAUAAACGUAAAUAUAUGAUUAUUGAGGUUGGUAGUUACUCGACUAUAAUAUUCUUAAAAGUACUAUGAUUACUAUGUCUCUUAAUUAUUAUUAUGUAAAAAAUUAUUUUUUAUGUAUAAUAAAUUAAGUAUGUUGUAUUUUAAAUUAUGAAACUAAUUACAAUUGAUUUUAAAGAAAUGAUUAAUUAUAAUAUACAUUUGAUUUUGAUGUACUUAUUUUAUAUUUGUAAAAACAAAAAUCAUUUUUUAUGUAUUAUAUUUUUAAUUUUUUGUUCGCUGUCGAUGUGAAUUUAUUGUUAUUAUUAAUGUUAAUUGUUGCUGUAAUUAAUAUGUAUUUAAUGGUUUUACUUAAUAUGUAUUAAAUUAUUGUGCUUAAUACAUAUUAUAUAUGGAAUUUUAGGAGCUCGUGUUUUAAGAAUAAAAUUUUAUAUUUUAUUAUAAAAAAGAGAGUUCAUAAUGUAUAUGUAACAAUAGUAUUUAUCAUGGUGUGACUCAAAUUUGAAAGAGUAUUGUGUGAAUGAUCUCUUACACUUAUAGAAGGUACCAAAGAUCUUUUGUACUUAAAGAGAUUUCCGAAAAGAUCCCUACUCACAUUAGAAGUAUAUAAAGAGAUUUUAAUCAAAUUUUACUUAAAUGUUUUUUAUUUUCUAAAAAUGGAUGAAUUAAUUAAUUAAUUUAUUAAACAUGAUUGAAAAUCUUGUGUAAGAAAAAUGUUUAUAAAUAAUUAUAUUUAUUGCAUUUUAUAUGGAUGUCAAUGUGAAUUGGUUUGUCUUGUUUUAAUGUAUUCUAUAUUUGAUCUACAAAGAAUAGGUCAAAUCAACUCGCUUUGCAUAAGAAAUGCAAGUUAGCUUUUUUGCCCUACCUUAUAAAACAUUUAACUUGUAGGUUUACAAGUCAACAUGCAAUCUUCAUAAAAAAAUUAUUUAUUUUGUAAUUUUUUAUCUUGUAAAAUAUACCUAUUUAUUAAAAUAAAUAAUAUUCAUAAUUUCUAAUUUUUAAAUACAAGCUUAUUGAAACUAUAAAUAGUUUUGAAAUACACCCAAACAAAGAAAAAAAUACAAGUAAGAGAAUUAUAUUUGGAUGGACUAGAUAUGAACGAGUGAGCUAUUUUUGAUGAACUAGAGAAGAAAUGCAAAUUAACAAGUUACUUAGAAUAAACACACAAAAUGAAAUGUAUUACAAUAAACAUACAAAAUGAGAUGUAUUAAUACAGUUGCAUUUUAGGAAUUCAAGUCAAUAUGAGUUGUGUAAACCAAAUGCAGGUCAACAUGUUAAUCUAUGCAAGUUGUAAGUUAUAUACAAACUUUAGAAAGUAUGAUAUUUAAAUAUGAAAGUUUCAUUGUUAGAGAAACUUGGGAUUUCUAUUUAAUAAUAACAUAUGUCUUAGUCACAUAUAAAAGUUUAAUAUAAUUUUUUUUGUUUAAAAUAUUGAUUUUAUAAACUUAAUCAAUAAUUCAGUAAAUAAUUAUGUCGAUUGAAAUAAUAAAUUAUAUAAUAUGUAUGGUGAAUUAAAAAUUUAAUCAUAAUUGAUCAUAAACAAAUAUUAAUUAUAUAUGUUUAAUUCUUUUGUAUUGUUAAUAAUAAGGAUAUUUAUCUUGAAUAUUUUUCAUUAGAGAUAUGUUUGAUAUUAUUAAAGGAUACAUAAAUUUACAUUACAUACAAAACAUAUAAUGUAAAUAUAUGUCAGACAUUACUUCAAGUUCGAUAUAAAUGUCUCAAAAUUUAUGUAUAUCAUGUUCGACAUAAAAGAGUAUGUCAUUAGUAAAGAAAGUUAUAUUGAAAUAAACAUUUAUUUAAGAAUCUGUUUCAAUUUAGUGUGCAACUUAUCACAUGAAAGAUUUACAUAAAGUUAAAUAAGAGAUGGUAAACAAGAAAGCCAAAUUAGGAAAGAAGUUGGAUCACAGAGUAAGAAGAAGAUUCAUAUGUACAAGUUAAAGGGUAUUUAAAACAAGAUAACCUUAAGGAUUUGAUUGAGUUUGUUAGUAUGAGUGAGGGGAAUAUGGAGGCGAAAGAGAAACUAAACGUAAUGCUAUUUCCCUUUCCGGGACAUGGUCAUUUGAUACCAGCGGCCGAUAUGGCAAGAUCAUUCAGUGGAAGAGGGGUGAGGAUAACAAUAGUUACCACUCCACAAAACGUACCUACUCUUCGUCGGACCAUAGGAAAAAGCUCUCAUUCUAUAGAAUUCCUCACCGUCAAAUUCCCCUCUGCAGAGGCUGGCUUACCUNAGGGAUGCGAAAAUACAGAGUCAAUCCCCUCCCCUAACCUCAUACCCGCUUUCUUCAUGGCAACCACCAUGCUAUGUUUGAAUUAGUUUGAAAUGUUGGUACAAAACUAGAUAGAAAUCGCGUGUUUGAAUUAGUUUGAAAGGGCAUGGUAUGACGCAGGGGAUUACGAAGUCUGCUAACACCCUCACGCAAGGGAUUACGUAUUUUGCUUUGUAUUUUAAAUUUUGAACUGACGAAAAGUGGUCUUGACCAUUGAGAGCAAUGGAUCGAUGAAGGAUCAAGUACUGCGGUUCAGUAUUUUAUUAUUUGACCAAUUCCGACACAGUGAUACAUCUGUUAUAGUUUUACAUGUUACUGGGGAAAAAAGGAAACCGUGUCCGCUGGGAAACAACUUGAGACGGACUAGCUAUAUAUUUUAAAGCUAGAAGGAAUUGGUUGAGGGGCAAAUAAAAUCCAGUGUGUUAGUGUGAGUGAGGGGAAUAUGGAUGCGAAAGGAAAACUAAAGGUAAUGUUUCUUCCUUUUCCUGGUCAAGGACACUUGAUCCCAAUGAGUGAUAUGGCAAGAGCAUUCAGUGGAAGAGGGGUGAGGGCAACUAUAGUCACCACUCCGCUCAACGUGCCUACUAUUCGGGGGACCUUAGGCAAAAGCUCAGAUUUAGACCCCGACUCGGAGAUAGAAAUCGUCAGCAUCAAAUUCCCCUGUGCAGAGGCUGGCUUACCUGAGGGAUGCGAAAAUACAGAGUCAAUCCCCUCUCCAGACUUCAUAUCCGCUUUCUUCAAAGCAAUCACCAUGCUACGGCACCAAUUCGAACACCUCCUUCUUCAACACUCACCACACUGCCUUAUUGCCAGUGCUUUAUACCCCUGGGCAUCUCACUCUGCAGCUACAUUCAAUAUCCCAAGGCUUGUAUUUUAUGGCACCGGUGUCUUCGCUUUAUGUGCUUCAGAAUGUCUGCGACUCUACCAGCCUCACAACAAUGUGUCUUCUGACUCUGAUCUAUUUGUUAUUCCUCAUCUUCCGGGAAACAUCCAAAUGACAAGGAUGAUGUUGCCCGAUUACGCUAAAGCUGACGGGGAAACCAAAUACGCAGAACUGUUGAAGGCAAUCAAGGAAUCGGAGGACGCAAGCUUGGGAGUUAUUGUUAACAGCUUUUACGAACUGGAGCAGGUGUACGCUGAUUAUUAUGAAAAGCUGCAGGGGCGGAGGGCGUGGUACAUAGGUCCGCUUUCUCUGUGUAACCAACAGCAACACAAAGGCAAGCGAGGGAAGGAAGCCUCGGUUGACGAAGGGGACAUUUUGAAGCGGCUGGAUUCGAAGAAAGCCAACGCAGUGGUGUACGUCUGUUUUGGUAGCAUAGCCAACUUCAGUGAAAGUCAGUUGAGAGAAAUAGCGAGGGGACUUGAGGAUUCGGGACAAGAAUUUAUAUGGGUUGUGAGGAGCAGUGACAAGGAAUGGCUUCCGGAGGGGUUUGAGAGAAGAACAGAAGGAAGAGGAAUGAUUAUUUGGGGAUGGGCACCUCAACUUUUGAUUCUUGACCAUCGAGCUGUGGGAGUGUGACACACUGUGGAUGGAAUUCAACGCUGGAACCUGUAUCCGCUGGGGUGCCCAUGGUCACUUGACCUGUUUCUGCUGAACAGUUCUACAAUGAGAAGUUACUGACCGAGAUUCUUGAAAUCGGGGUCCCUGUUGGUGUUAAAAAAUGGGCUACAAUUGUGGGAGACGGUGUUGGCAGUGAGGCGCUUGAGAAGGCACUGAAAAGAAUAAUGGUAGGGGAAGAAGCAGAGACUAUCAGAAACAGAUCACAUAAACUGUCAGAAAUGGCAAGAACUGCCGUGGAAUGCAACGGAUCCUCUUCCUGUUACCUCACUGAUCUGAUACAACACCUUCAUUGGAUUGCAGGCCUUCAAAAUUGCCCAAAAUCAUCUGAAUGACUCUAGAUUCUCAUCAUUUCAUAAAACCUAAGUCGUGACCUUAACUGUAUGUCUGUAUCAAUGAGUAGACAAAACGAUGAAAGGAUGUUUUGGAUCCUCUUUUUUUAUGACUUAGGGUGCACAUGGAUUUGCAGUUGACUUUGUUUUUUUUUUAUAUAUAUCUCCAAAUAAAGAAUCUGAAACCCAGAUUUUAUAUUAUGAAUAAAUUUGACCUUUGUUUCUUAUUUUAAAACUAGACGAUAUUCUAUGAAAGUUAAAAGAGAGAAAAAUUUAAGUAGAAGCCAAUAAUAUCUAGCUAGACGAUGUACUUAUUAGUUUUUUUUUUUCAAAAAAAAAAAGUAGAGUAGAUGAUGUAGUGGCUGAACGAAUUACUAUUUUUAUUGAGUGAAUGUAAUAAUAAUUAAUAAAAAAUUUAGAUAAAACUCUAGACAUUACAUUUUAUGGAUUAGUGAAUCAUUGUUGGAGAAACUUAGUGGAUUUGGCUUUCUAAGAGUUUGGAUUGUUGGACAAAUGGUAUUAAUGUUGGGUGAAGAAUAUUUUUAGAUAUCUAAAAGUUGAUGGAUAAUUGGGUCAUUAAGAUGAAAACUCAUUAUAUAUUUUAAAUUUUAAGAUCAACCCCAUACUGUUAUGAUGUUUUGAUAAUGUUAUGGUUUAUAUAACAUAAAGAAAAUAUAUGUAAUUAAUGUGUGAAGAGUUUCUGAAUUGAGAUUUUGUGAUAUUUAAAGAAAUAUUUUAUUCAUAAUAUUAUAACAAUAAAUUAGAUUAAUGUUGAAUAAAUUAAAAGAGAAAAUGAAAUUUUAAUAAAAGUAAAUAUAUGAUUAUUUAGGUUGGUCGUUUGUCAUCUAUAAUAUUCUUAAAAUUAUUAUGGUUACUAUAUCUGUUAAUUACUAUGUACCAAAUUGUUUUUUAUGUAUAAUAAAUUAAGUAUGUUGUAUUUGAAAUCAUGAAACUAAUUACAAUUGAUUUUACAGAAAUGAUUAAUUAUAAUAUACAUUUGAUUUUGAUGUAUUUAUUUUAUAUUGUAAAAACAAAAUCAUUUUCUAUGUAUUAUAUUUUUAAUUUUUUGUUAAUGUGAAUUUAUUGUUAUUAAUGUGUAUUUAAUUGUUUUACUUAAUGUGUAUUAAAUUAUGGCGCUUAAUAUAUAUCAUAUAUUGAAUUUUAGGAGCUAGUGUUUUAAGAAUAAACUUUUAUAAAUUAUUAUAUAAAAAAAGAGUUCAUAAUGUAUAUGUAGCAAUAGUAUUUAUUAUGGUGUAACUCUAAUUUGAAAGAGUAUUGUGUUAAAGAUCUUUUACACUUAAAUAGAAGGUACCAUAGAUCUUUCAAACUUAAAAAGAGAUUUUCUAAAAGAUCUUUACUCGCAUUAGAAGUACAGAGACUUUUUAAUAUAAAAUUUUACUUAUUUUUUUUAUUUUCUAAAAAUUGAUGAAUUAAUUAAUUAAUUUAUUAAACAUGAUUAAAAAUUGUGUAAGAAGAAUUUUUAUAAGUAGUUAUAUUUAUUGUAUUUGAUACGAAUGUACGUGAAUUUGUCUGGUUUUGAUGUGUUCGUCAUUUAACCCACAUAAAGUGUUUAAGUCGGCUCGCUUUGUAUGAGAAAUGUGAGUUAAUUUUUUUAACUUAUCUCAUGUAGCAUUUGACUUGUGAGUUCAGGAGUCGACCGUAUACCUUCAUCAUAAAUUAUUUGUUUUCUUUUGUAAAAUACUAUAUAUGGUGCAAAAUUUUGAUAAAUAUAUUUUAAUUAAAUUAAAUUAGUAUAACUCACAAAUUUUAUAAACUUACUUAUUAAAAUAAGUAAUAUUCAUAAUUUUGUAACUUCUAAUUUUUAAAUACAGAUCUAUUGAAAUUAUAAAUGAUUUUGAACUAGACUGAAAUCAGAGAAAAAAAAUAAAAGUAAGGGAAUUAUUUAUGGACAGAUUAGAAAUAAAUGAGUGAACUACUUUUGGAUAAAUAGAAAACAAAUGCAAAUAAACAAGUUACUUAGAAUAAACACACAAAAGGAGAUGUGUUAAUGCAAAUGCAUUUUAGUAGUAAUUUAAGUCUGUGAGUUAUGCAAACCAAAUGUAGGCCAACUUGUUGUUAGUCUAUGCAAUUUGUGAGUUAUAUACAAAAUUUUAAAAAAGUAUGAAUAUUUUAUUGUUAGAGGAACAUCGUGAUUUCUAUUUAAUAAUAACACAUGUCUUAGUCACGUAUGAAAAUUUAAUAUAUCAUGUUAUAAACUUUAUGAACUUAUUAAGUAAUUCAUUAAAUAGUUAUGUCAAUUGAGAUAUAUAAGAAAUUAUAUAAUAUAUUUAAUUUUAUAAAAUUAUAUAAUAUGUAUCGUGAAUUGAAGAAUUAAUUAUGGUUAUUUUAAAGAAAUUAAUAAUUAUAUAAUAUGUUUAAAUUUUUUUUUAAUAAUAAAGAUAUUUAUAUUGAGUUUGUUUUUACAAUAGAGAUAUGUUUGACAUUAUUGAAAGAUACAUAAAUUUAUAUCACAAGCAAAAUAUACAAAGUAAAGUUACAUCACACACUAUUACAUGUUUGAUGUAAAUGUUUCAAUUUAUGUCAAACAUUACCACGUUCGAUGUAAAUUUAUGUUAUUAGUAAAGAAAGUUAUAGUAAAAUUAAUAUUUAUAAAUUUGUUUCAACUUAGGGUGAAGAUUGAGAUAUGUAAGUUCAAGAGUAUUCAAUACUCUUAUAACUUAAAUAAUAUUGAAUUUGUUCAACUUAAUCUCUUUUUUAAACGAUAAGAUCUUAUUCUAAGUUUGUCUUUCCUAUUUUGACCAUUCUUCAACUUUGUAAAAAAGUUUGUCCUUUGAUAUUCAACAUCAUAAUUUACAUCAAGUUCUGAAAUGUCUAUUUUAUUGAAUUUGUUUUAUUUAGUGAUAGAAAUAACAAAGGUGAAAAUGGAUGUUUGAUUUUGUUUUUAAAUAUCAUGAAUCCACUACAAUGUAUUCUUAAAAGCAAACAUGCCAAACAAAACAAAUGAAACAUUGAUAGAAAGUCAUGACUGGAUUCCUUAAUAAACAAUCAAGUCACAAAUGAAAAUGUAAAAAUGAACAAACAAACCUCAACGAGAAAACAAACUCAACUAUAACGCAAAAAUGAAUUCCUAAACCACAAUCAUUUCAUUAUUAGAUAUCAAACCUAAGGCAAGAGCGUUUUCAUUGUUAUUACACAGUGAGAGAUGAGAAGAAUAAUCCUGAAUAUGAUAUAUAUAGAAAACAUUAUGUUGAAUAUUUUUUUUUUUCGACCUAAAUCAUUUUUACUUAUUUACUAUAAAUAUCACUAGACUUUCUUAGCCGUCAAACGCAAGUUAAGUGACAUAAAUAACAUUUUUUGUGUUAUUGUGUUCUUUUAAUGUGAAUUUAUUGUUACUUUUAAUAUGAAUUAUUAUUGUUAUUAAUGUGAGCUUUUUAUAUGAUUAAUAUGUAUUAAAUUAUUGUAAUUAAUAUAUGUUAAUGUAAAUGAUUGUUUUACUUAAUAUGUAUUAAAUUUUUAAUAUAUAUUAAUUUGUUGUGGUUAAUAUAUUUUAUAUAUGGAAUUUUCGAAGGUGUGAUAUUUAAGUAUGAGAGACUUAUUAUUAGAGAGAGUUAGUGAUUUUUAUGUAAUAAUAACAUAUGCUUUAGCCAACUAAGAAAUAGUAUGAAUGAAGUUUAAUAUAAAAUUUUAUUUAAAAUAUAUUGAUUUUUUUAAAAGAAAAAUGUUUUUUUUUAAUGCUAAAUGUAGCACUUGACAAUCUAUUUUUAGAAGUAUUUUAGUUAUUAAAAAGUUAAAUUUUUGUAUUUGUAUAAAAAAGAUAGAUUGAAGGAUGAAAUAAUGAAUACAAAGUGAGUGUAAAAAUUUGUUGGAUGUCAAAAUGAUAAUGUCUUUUCUAAAAAUCGAUGAAAAUAAAUAAUUAAAUUUAUUAAAUAGAUAAUGUCCAUUGAAAUUUUUCUAUUUUUAUAAAUAAUUAUAUUUAUUUGAUUUGAUUUUGAACAUGUAUAUUUCUCCUUUAAUUCUACUCGCUUACGAAUAUUACGCAAUUCUGACGUGGCUUUUCAUAUACACUUCCCGUAAGAAAAUAAGUUAUUUUAAUUUUUAUUGUUGUAUGCUGAAUUAACAUUUUUAGGACUUGAAGAAAAUAUUUUGUGAAGUUUUUAAAGGAUGUCAUAUUAUAAAUAUGUAGAAGGGUAUAAGCUUUCAACAACGGACUAGUCAUAUAUUGUAGAGCUGUCAAAACGGGUAAUCCGGCUCAAUCCGGCCCGGCCCACCACGGGUUGGUCACUUAGUGAACCAACCCAACCCGGCUCAUUUAUUAGCGAGCCAGAAAAACUUGAACCUGGCCCGACCCACCACGGGUUGGUGGGUAAACGGGUUGGCUCACUAUCCCAUUUAAUUAUAUUUUUUUAAAAUAAAAAAAAAUACAAAUUUUCUAUAAUUUAAAUUUAAACAAAUUUCACUCCUAAAAAGUUAUGUUAAAGACCAAUUUCGACAAUCAAUAAAAAAAUAUUAGUAAAAAAAAGAGAAUCAGUACUCAAUAACAUCAACAAAAAAUUAAUAGUUUAAUCUGUAACAUAAAUUCCCAAAUUCAAAAAUAUCAAAAAGAGUUUGUUCAAAUAAUGUAUACUCAAAUUGUUUAAAUAAAAUGAACAAAAUCUGAUACANNNNNNNNNNNNNNNNNNNNNNNNNNNNNNNNNNNNNNNNNNNNNNNNNNNNNNNNNNNNNNNNNNNNNNNNNNNNNNNNNNNNNNNNNNNNNNNNNNNNNNNNNNNNNNNNNNNNNNNNNNNNNNNNNNNNNNNNNNNNNNNNNNNNNNNNNNNNNNNNNNNNNNNNNNNNNNNNNNNNNNNNNNNNNNNNNNNNNNNNNNNNNNNNNNNNNNNNNNNNNNNNNNNNNNNNNNNNNNNNNNNNNNNNNNNNNNNNNNNNNNNNNNNNNNNNNNNNNNNNNNNNNNNNNNNNNNNNNNNNNNNNNNNNNNNNNNNNNNNNNNNNNNNNNNNNNNNNNNNNNNNNNNNNNNNNNNNNNNNNNNNNNNNNNNNNNNNNNNNNNNNNNNNNNNNNNNNNNNNNNNNNNNNNNNNNNNNNNNNNNNNNNNNNNNNNNNNNNNNNNNNNNNNNNNNNNNNNNNNNNNNNNNNNNNNNNNNNNNNNNNNNNNNNNNNNNNNNNNNNNNNNNNNNNNNNNNNNNNNNNNNNNNNNNNNNNNNNNNNNNNNNNNNNNNNNNNNNNNNNNNNNNNNNNNNNNNNNNNNNNNNNNNNNNNNNNNNNNNNNNNNNNNNNNNNNNNNNNNNNNNNNNNNNNNNNNNNNNNNNNNNNNNNNNNNNNNNNNNNNNNNNNNNNNNNNNNNNNNNNNNNNNNNNNNNNNNNNNNNNNNNNNNNNNNNNNNNNNNNNNNNNNNNNNNNNNNNNNNNNNNNNNNNNNNNNNNNNNNNNNNNNNNNNNNNNNNNNNNNNNNNNNNNNNNNNNNNNNNNNNNNNNNNNNNNNNNNNNNNNNNNNNNNNNNNNNNNNNNNNNNNNNNNNNNNNNNNNNNNNNNNNNNNNNNNNNNNNNNNNNNNNNNNNNNNNNNNNNNNNNNNNNNNNNNNNNNNNNNNNNNNNNNNNNNNNNNNNNNNNNNNNNNNNNNNNNNNNNNNNNNNNNNNNNNNNNNNNNNNNNNNNNNNNNNNNNNNNNNNNNNNNNNNNNNNNNNNNNNNNNNNNNNNNNNNNNNNNNNNNNNNNNNNNNNNNNNNNNNNNNNNNNNNNNNNNNNNNNNNNNNNNNNNNNNNNNNNNNNNNNNNNNNNNNNNNNNNNNNNNNNNNNNNNNNNNNNNNNNNNNNNNNNNNNNNNNNNNNNNNNNNNNNNNNNNNNNNGUUAUUGUUAACAGCUUUUACGAACUGGAGCAGGUGUACGCUGAUUAUUAUGAAAAACUACGGGGACGGAAAGCGUGGUUCGUAGGUCCUCUUUCUCUCUGCAACCAACAGCAAGACAGAGGCAAGCGAGGGAAGGAAGCCUCGGUUGACGAAGGGGACAUUUUGAAGUGGCUGGAUUCGAAGAAAGCCAACACAGUGGUUUACGUUUGUUUUGGAAGCAUAGCUAACUUCAGUGAAAGUCAGUUGAGAGAAAUAGCGAGGGGACUUGAGGAUUCGGGACAAAAAUUUAUAUGGGUUGUGAGGAGAAGUGACAAGGAAUGGCUUCCGGAGGGGUUUGAGAGAAGAACAGAAGGAAGAGGAAUGAUUAUUUGGGGAUGGGCACCUCAACUUCUGAUUCUUGACCAUCCAGCGGUGGGAGCCUUUGUGACACACUGUGGAUGGAAUUCGACGCUAGAAGCUGUGUCCGCUGGGGUGCCCAUGGUCACUUGGCCCGUUUCUGCUGAACAGUUCUACAAUGAGAAGUUAGUGACGGAGAUUCUUGAAAUUGGGGUCCCUGUUGGUGUUAAAAAAUGGACUAGAAUUGUGGGAGACAGUGUUGGCGGUGAGGCGCUUGAGAAGGCACUGAAAAGAAUAAUGGUAGAGGAAGAAGCAGAGACUAUCAGAAACAGAGCACACAAACUGUCAGAGAUGGCAAGAACUGCCGUGGAACGCAACGGAUCAUCUUCCUGUUCCCUCACUGAUCUGAUACAACGCCUUCAGUCGAUCGCAGGCCUUCAAAAUUGCCCAAAAUCAUCUGAAUGGCUCUAGUAUGUCAUCAUUUCAUAGAACCUAAGUAGUGUGACCUUAACGUUAUGUCUGUAUCAAAUGAGUAGACAAAACGAUGAAAGGAGGUUUUGAAUCUGCUUUUUUAUGACGUAAGGUGAAGAUGGAUUUGCAGUCGACUUUGCUUUUUGUGUUUUAUAUCUCUAAAUAAAGAAUCUGAAACCCAGGUUUCAUAUUAUGAAUAAAUUUAACUUUUGUUUCUCAUUGUCUCAACACAGUAAGUCACAAGGUUUUGUUACAUGCAAACUUACCUAAUCUACUUGAAUGUUGCCAUUCUUUUUAGCACAUUUUCUUUUUCCUUUCUAGUUUACUUGACACGAACUUUUGUUUAUUGACAUUAUCAAUCUUCUAAUUAGAUAAUGUGUUUAUGUCAUAUGAAGAUAUGUUAUAGAUCAUAACAUAUUAUACGUAAACAUACAAUAGAUUAUAAUUAUAUUAUAUGCAUAGUUAAUUUUGUAUAAUAAUUAUAACAAAUAAGAGCAUUAAUAAUAAUAAAAAACUAUUACUAAUAGUAAAUAAUAAUAAUAAUUUUAAAUAAAAAUUAUCAUUAAUAAUAACAAUAAAAUAGAUUUAUAUAAUAAUAUUGCUAAUAAAUUAAUAAUUAUAAUAGUUAAUAAAAAUAACAAUUGUGUAUUCAUAAUAUCAUUAAUUGAAAAAUAUAAUUAAAAUGUAAUAUAAGAGUGAUAGAGUCAUUUCAACAGUUUUUUAUUGAAAGAUAAUUUUAAUAUGAUUUCACCAAUUCGUUGAAGAAGAAUGCUAUUAAAGAAGAAAACUCCUGUUGAAAUAUACAAAAAAUCUCUUAAAAAAACGUCUUUCAAGGUUAUAAAUAUUUGGGGUGGAGGAAGAAAUAGGGGAUACAGGAAAAGAACUCUCCUUUAUGAUUUUCAACUACAAAGCCUUAUAAGGAAAAGUCAAAGUGUAAUUAAAGUAAUGUAUGUAUUAAGAUAAAUGAUAUUUUUCAUAUACAGACAAAUAAGUAACAAAAUUUAAAAGUAUGUCAUUAGCUUUAAAAUAAUUAAUAUGAUAAAAACGGUUAAAGGAUGGAGAGCUUCGUGUACAGACAAACAAACAAACUGCUUAUUCAUUAGUGAAUAGAGAUGAGAAACAGAGAGACAUAGGUAAUGAUACAUAGAUAGAUACAGUUGAUGCCUAGUAAAGCAUGCAGUUGUAGUAGGUGCGAUGGUAAGCUAGCGAUGAAGACGGGGAUCGAGAGAGUUGUAAGAGAGAGGAGCAGGAGGAGUGGAGGUGGUGGUGUGGGUGUGGCUGCUGGGAUCGUACUUUUUGCAGGGUACGUAAUUGAGAGACUUUGGAUUGGGGCAGGGCUUGAGGUUGGAGAAGAAGUGGGAGCAUUCGCCAUGGGGCCUUUGAUUGGGAAGGCCAAGGAUGCAGUUGUUGCUCACGUCCAGCACAUUGCACUCGAUCAGCUUCCUGCAUGCAGGGCCAACCUGAGUGAAAUAGUUGUUCGAUAAUGAGAAGUUGCCUCUGUCGCGGAGCCCUGGGAGCUGACACACCGUUUCCGGAACUUCACCGUAGAACUGGUUGCACUCCAAGUUGAGGUACCGGAUGCUCUCCAGGCAGCCGAAGGAGCGUGGGAUGGGACCGGUCAAAUUGUUUUUGCUGACGUCAAAGACGGUGGCCUUGCGGAGGAGGCCAAUCUGGUAGGGCAAGCAUCCCUGGAAGUGGUUGCCCAAGAAGAGGACUUCGACGAGGUUUUUGGAAGCUCCGACGGAGGGGGGGAUUGGACCGGUGAGUUGGUUGUUGGCAAAAGUGAGGUACCUUGCCGGGGUGGAGGCAAAGGCAUCGGGGAGACUGCCAGUGAAUUGAUUGUUGUUGAUGAAAAUGACAUCGAGAUAUUUGAGGUAGAAGAGCUGCGGAGGUAUGGGGCCGUAGAGAAGGUUGAACCUGAGGUCAAGGAAAACCAGCUGCGAGGACUGGAGAACUUCCUUUGGAAACUCGCCCUUCAGCUUGUUGUUACUUAGGUCCAACUCGAAGAAAUAUUUGUACUGGGUUAUUUCACUUGGGAUGGCACCGGUGAAGUUGUUGGAGUUCACGUGGAAGAACGUCAGCUCUGGUAUCUUGUCCAAGAGCCCCGACAGGAGCAGAGGUGUGCGGUUUUUCCCAGACAGCCCAGCUCCGUUCAGGUCUAUUCCCGCAAUUGCUCGCUGCUUUUCCGGGUCUGGAUAUUCUGCACAUCGUAUCCCGUUGAAUUUGCAAGGGUCAUCACCCCUCCAGUCACCGAUGUAUUUGUUUCGGUCCACUGAACCAGUGAAGCCCACCAGAGUUCGGCGGCCAUUCUCCAACCUUGUCUGACACUUCGGGGGAGGAGGUGGGGGUGGAGGCGGGGGACACAUCGGAGGAGGGGGAGAAGCAUAAGGAUAGCCUCCGCCAUUGUGCAUGAUAAUAUGCGAUGCUUCUUUUCCCAACACAGUAGCCAUGAAAGAGUGAAGCAAUAAAGCAGAUAGGAAGAAGUUCAUGGUGGACAUCUUUAAUUUGUGUCUUGACGGAGUCCUACGGUAUAUGCAUGUGUCUGUGUGUGUAUAUAUAUUAUAUAAAAGCAAAAAUCUUUUAGCAUGCAGCGUGGAUGAUGAGGAGAAAGAAGUGUCAGGCGGAGAUUUUGGUUUGGUUGGCCUCGAAAGUAUGCAAUGACAACCAUAGAGAAGUAGAUUGACGUAGAGAUAUUAAGUUGGUGUGCCCGUGAAUUAAAUAAGGGCCGUCUUACGACAUUUCCGAACUCCCAAUCGUCGGCACUACUCAUUACACACCCUGUCUAUACGUGAUUAAAGAUGGGCACCACCUACAUGUGCGCAUUAUUUAUUAAGAUAUGAUAUUUUAGCAGCUCCAACAACCAUUUCACAGUAUGAUCUCAUUAAAAACAUAAAGAUAAACCUUUGUGUAUGUAAAGAAAAAGGAGAUCAAAGAUAAAUUAAUGAUUGUAGGAUACCCGUGUAAAGAUUUAGGAAAAAGAUUUAUUGGUUGUGAAAAUAUCAUUGCCCUAGUUAUCAUUCUCAGUCUGCUCUUCCUCUAGUCUUUUCUUUGUGUGCUAAAAUAGAAAGAGAGACUCAUGAAAAAGACGAGAUCAGAGAGGAAAAUGGUCGUUGAGUUGUCAUGAAACUAAACAUUUCACCAUCAACCUGAAACUCUGUUUCUUGAGGUAGAUGAGUGAAGAAUUGAACUUUACUACAAAUCUGAAUAUGAAUUGGCUGACAAGUUUACAAAACCAUUGCCUAUCAAACAAUUUGAACUUUUAAGGAGAAAAAUUAGAGGUUGCAAUUUGUUAAACAAGAAGUAUUAAAUAUAUGCUUUUGUAACCGUAUUUUAAUUUUUAUUUAAGUGUCCUAAUCAAUGCGUAACGGUGUUUUCAAUGUGGUUCAACUACCUCCUUGGUCAAAAAGGCACAUAAUCUUAACUGUGUGCCCAGAUCCAUGCGAAGGAACCUGCAACUCUGCCAUGCACAAUGUAAAUACCUUCAAGCAUAGUGUUUCAUUCAAAAAAAGAAGAGACACUUGUGUAAUUACACUUUGUGCGAGCUGCUUUUCUCCUCUCAUCUCCUUACGAAGAUCUUCCAUCCAUUAGAAGAAACACAGUAUUAGGCAGAUAGUAAGACAAUCUAUUCCAAAGUAUGAAGAGACAUUUGAUUCACUUGAUCACAAUACGCACAAAAUUUACCAUAAGUGCGGUACCCAUAAACAUUUCCGCAUAAUGAUUUGCAUCCUAAAUUUGCGGUACAUGUUUGUUCAUAUACCUAUGUCAGUGUAACCAUGCUACAUUGUGAAGAAGAUAAAUUCUCCAUGGACAGUCAUAAAAUGAAGUAAAAUGACAGUAAUACGAUAGAACCAUGGGGUACUGGAAAAACGAUUAAUACAACCAUUUAAAAGCGAUUUCAGUUCUGCGCAAAUUAUGUAACGAUGGUAUGAAUAUCAACAAUUAUGUCAAAUAAGAAGAAUGAUUCUUAACAAAAUAAAUUAUAUCACUAUUUUAUUCGUCCUUUUCAAUACGGAUCAAUAACAAGCUAUUACUUAACUUAUUAUGAAGAAAUUGACAAAAAAACAAUUAUUAAAAAGACUUUUUCCUUUAUUAAAUACAUUGAAGANAUGUAUGACAAAUUCCUAAGAUGAACUUAAACAAAAAUCUGGACAAGUAAUGCAUAGUCCACCAUUUAUAUACUAAUCUUAUUAACCAAAUAAAAAUAUUAUUCGCCUUCCUACGUAUGUCCUUAAAAUCAGUAUAUCUAUUAUUACCUCUUCAUUCAUUCCUCUAAAAUCAGUAUAUCAUACAAUCCGAACGAAAGGAAAGGAAAGAAAAGAAAAAUAAAAUAAAAUAACAACAGUUAAACAUCCAUCAGAAAGAAAGGGAUAACAAAAAGAAAAAAUAUACUUUGAAACUUCUACAUUCAUUUUGAUAUAUUAUUUUUCAUUCUUUUAUUAUUAAAAUCGUAUUAAAUAAGCAUAGGUGUAUCAGAAUAUCAUUUUUUUCUGACAAAAAAAAGUGAGGUUGAAACUAUUGAAUGGAAGUGUUAAAAAACUUGUGCAUAUAUAAAACUAAUCACUAAGAUAAAUAAAUGCAUCAUGCAACUAAUUUAUGAACGAGGUUUUAGGCCUUGGAUGAAACUCUUUUUUACAUUUUACAGGUGUCUCCUCCGUUGGUCAACUCAAAAGAAGAAGAAUUUGAUUUCGACAGCAGUUCAUUUACCUACCAUAAAUACAAGGUGAAAACAAAACGGAAAAACUGUUUCCUCUUUCCAUUUCCCUCCAUUUUGUUUUUCUAAAAGCUAAACUUCAAAGCUAUGACAUCAUUAAUCGAAAAAGUUUGCCCAAAGUUCAAAAUUAAAUAAAAGCUGAAUAAAGUAGCUUGUGAUUUAUUUCAGGGAACUUCUUCAUGGUUCUUAUAACAGAGAAGAGCAUUAAAAGAAAAUGAUUUUUUUAAUAAAUUAAAAUUAGCCUUUGUAUGAGGUAAUUUGUAAGAUUUUUCUUUUUCUGUUUUUCUAACGCAUACUUUAAAUUAAAUAAUUUCAAAUUUUCUUCUUCAGACAUGUUUAUGAAGACGCUCUUUCAAAUAAUUGAAAGUUGGCAAACGAAAUUGGUUAGACUGGCUAUUAAUUCAAAACGCGUGAUAAAAUUAUCUACUAAAUAACAAACAGAUAUAAAAUAAAAUAAAUAGAUGUUUUAUAUGUUUUGAAAUAUUACUAAUUUUAGUUUCAUCUUUUUAAUUUUUAAUCAUUAUAUUUUUCAUAUUAAUUCAUGCAUUCUACUGUUUAUCUUCAAUUACGUCUUAAAGGAAAGUUUAUAAAAAAGAAAAGAAAAGUGGAUACAGUAUUCAAUAAUUGGAAUAUAGCAUAAUGAUUAAAAAAUAUUAUAUCAGUCAUUCAAGCCUAAAUUAAGACACUAACGGAAACAUCAGAAACACCUAUAAGUAUCAUAAAAUUAAUUAUUAAAAAAGAAAAUUUACCCUAGUGAAAAUGAAAGUAAAUAAAAAAUAUAAUAAAAGAUUUUCUUGCAUGAUAAAAAAUAUAUUUUUUUAUUUAAAUAUUUAAGAAAACUUCUCUUGCCCUGAGAGAUCGUGCAAAAGGCGUUGCAUUCAAAGAUAUGGAAUAGUAUAAGAUAUAUAAAUAUAAAAUUUGAGAGUGAAAAGAGAAGGGUUUUCAGGAAGCGUUGAAUUGAACAGUUUGUGUUUGAUUUUGCAAUUGGAACUGCAUCUUCCGCAUGUCGAUUUCGGGCAUCCAGGGGCAGCCUCUCGAGGUUACGGGUAAGCACAUCCUUUCCAUCAAAUCGAUUCCGUUGAAUUAACAGAGCGUUAUUGAGAAUUAAGAAUGGCAGUGGUGUCGUGCUCCAAGCUGAAGGACACAGAAUGGAUUUCACGGCAAGAUCCGUACGUUUGCAUUGAGUAUGGCAGCACCAAGUUCCGCACCAGAACCUGCACCGGUCACCUUCCUCGCCUUUUCAUUUCCUUUCUUCCUUCUCUUUCCUUCUUUCUCUCACUUCAACUCUUCUUCCUCCUCCUCCGUUGCAGACGGCGGUAAGAACCCCGUCUUUCAGGAGAAGUUCGUUUUUCCCCUCAUCGAAGGCCUUCGGGAGAUCAACGUCCUUGUUUGGAACAGCAACACUCUCACCUUCGACGAUUUCAUCGGAAGCGGAAAGUCUGUUUUCCUCUUCUCUCUCCUCCGUUCUCCUCUCCUCUCCUCUCCUCACAUCUCAUCCCUCUUUCUUCCUUCUUCAGGAUUCAGCUGCACAAGGUUCUCUCUCAAGGCUUCGACGACUCUGCUUGGCCACUUCAGACCAAAUCUGGCAGGUAACACCACGCGCACCUCAUUCCACGCGUCUUCUCUUUUCCCAACUUUGACAUUUCCUUUCGCAGAUAUUCUGGCGAAGUCAAAGUCAUUCUGCACUAUGCAAUUGCAAAUCAAAAGGUAUGUCACUACCUUUUCAUUAGUUUUUCAGAAUUAGGUCAUUAGUGUGUGUGGACUGUAGUGUUUAUAUGGGGUUAUUAUUAUUGCAGCAUAAAUCAGGCUCCGGCCACGCUCCAUCUGCACCUCCCUAUAUGUCAACAUCAACUCCUCCAUUCCCUUCUUAUUCUAAUCCUUCUCUAGCAUCCUCCUACCCACCACCUCCUUAUUCUACUUCCUCCUAUCCACCACAUCCCUCUGCAACUCCUUACCACCAUACAACUGGAUCAUACCCACCGGUGGCAUCCACAGCCUCAUACCCACCGGUAGCAUCCACAGACUCAUACCCACCGGUAGCAUCCACAGCCUCAUACCCACCGCCUCCCACAGCUUACCCACCCCAUCCCUCACAUUCAUCUCCCUAUCCACAACACUCCUACCCUGCAUCAUCUCCCUAUCCACCCUCCUCGUAUCCUCCUCCACAUUCCUAUCCGCCUGCUUCAACUUAUCCACCAUCUUCGUAUCCACCGCCUACUGGUUACACUCCUGGUAACUAUUUCUCUUCUCCUAAUUCAUGUCCACUGCUUACUCACUGCUACUCUGCUCUUUCUACCACCAUAUUUUCUUCUUGUCAUGUUUUUCUCCCUCAUAACUACAAACUCGAUCUUUAUUCAGGAAUAUACCCUCCACCGCCAUACUGACGAGGAUCUUCUACAUUUGCAACCAAGGAUGCAACGUAACGUGGCUUGUACAUCACUUUGUAACCCUAUCCCAGCUUUACUUGUUAUCAGAAACCUUGUUUUUGUUUUGUUUCUUAUAUUUAUUCCAUACAUUUAUUUUGUCACGGGUUUAUCAUAUAUAAAACUCUAGCCAAGGUUUGUCAAUUGUGAUGCUCCAUAUCCAACGCUGUUGCAUAUAAGUUUCUCUUCAAUUGCUACCGAUAAAUGGGAUCAUGCCAAAAAGUAAGGGCUAUAAUAGCCCAAUCCCCAAUUCUCUCAAACCCCAUUUCCAAUGACCUUCGUAACUGACAAUGGCAAGUGCCGCCGGCAUUGGCUCUCCGCGAAUCACCACCUUCCAUCUCUUCCAAAAGGCUUAGACCGUCAGCAACGUCGAAAACCACACGCACUCCGUGUUAUCCUCAAGUAGUCGUUUCCAGAAUUUCCAAAUAUCCCACUCACUUCUCGGAGUGGAAAGCUUGAACCUCAAGGUUUUAACUUUUUUUGGUUGCUGUUUUGCAUCGUCCAUGGCGUAGAGAAGGAUCCCUUCUUUAAUGGAAUGUUUUUCUUUCAAUAGAACUUGAAAAACAGACCAUGAAAGAAAAACAUUCCACGGAAGAGGCACAAGGGAAAUGGAUGGCAUGCUGACAAAAGGGCAGAUCAAUGGGGAGGGAGACCAAUCUUAAAAUUUGUUUUAAAAAAAUAAAAAAUUUCUGAAUUUCAUAAUUGAAAAAAAAAGGUAAAUAAGAAAUUUUAUAUUUAUGAAGGCAUAAAAGAUAAGUAUGAAUGUAAAUGAAGAAAUAGCUACUAGAUAAAUCUCACAUUAAGAUCCAUUUUGUUAAUGUUGUGAAGCCACUAACAAUGUUCUUUUGGUAGUUUUCUAGCAUGUUUACAGAAGAAAAAUAAUAUUAUAUGAUAUGCCAACGGAAAUAUCAGUAAUUAUUUCGUGGAGAUUAGAAAUAUUAUUUUUAUAAACUGUAAUCAUCACUGAAAUAAUUAUGUAUGAAUAAGAAAUACAUCAUGUAUCGGUUGUCCUGCAGUUCACGGGUGAUUGCAUCUGCCUUACAUAUCAAGUAAUCCGAGUCGCAAAACUGCGUUGCUAAAAUAUUUAAAUUUAAAAUUCAUUAUACAUUUUGACUGUAAUAAUUAUAUAGAAGAUAUAUAUAUAUAUAUAUAUAUAUAUAUAUAUAUAUAUAUAUAUAUAUAUAUAUAUAUAUAUAUAUAUAUAUAUAUAUAUAUAUAUACAGUGAUAACACUUUUCAUAAAUGUUAGUUAUUUAUUAUACAUCGACGAUUAAAAUUACUGGUUCGUAUAUUUUUUAAAAACUUAAACUGAACCAUAAUAGAUAUGAAGUGGAGAGAAACUUGCACUCAACAUUUUCUCUUUUUUCUAUAAAGUAAAUCGUAACACUGUACAUGGGAAAGAAACAUAUACGAUGACUAUUUUCCCCUCUUUUCUCAUGAAAGAUACAAUCGAUUAUACUACUGGUUGCAGUUCAGUGCAAAGCAUUCUUUUUAUUUAUGCACACUACGUAAGUAAACGUUUUAUAAGUUUGACCAUUCUGAUACGAAAUGGAUGAAGCAUGCACAAAGCAUAACAUUCCAGGAGUAAGAUUGACCAACUGAUAUUCUAGUAAACAGUUAACAAGCAACAAUAUGGAUACAACCUUACCCAGUGAAGCAGUGACCAACCCCUUUGAACGUCUAGGACAUCCAAGGACAAGUGCCCAAUACCUUCUUUGUAGUAUUCUCUUCUCUUCGCCAAUCUAUUUAAGAUCAAACAGCUAAAAAUCAAGAAAAGCAAUGAAAUGGACAUGCCCUAGAUGUUUUCUCCCGAAAGAUGGAAUGCAGAACUGUAGUACUUGUCUGUGUUCUUCCCAUCACCAGUAGGCCAGAACAGUCUCUGUCUAAUCUAUGCACCUAAAAACAAUUUCGUUCAAGUAUCAGCCUAAUAUCUAGUUCAUGCCUCAUAUAUCCAAACAACCAUCAAUCAUAUUGGCACAGGAGUAAAGCACAAGGCAAAUAAUCCCACUAAUUCCAUUUUAGUUAAGUUCAAGCUUUGUAAUGAUUAUAACAGAUGAAACGGUAUUUGAUAGAAGAAUAAUAAAUAAUAAUGUUUACCACUUUCUUUUACGAAGAUACCACUAGGAUUUUUCUAUCUGUCAAGUCUUGAGUAUACGAACAAUUAAAGUUUAUCUAAUGAUAAAAUUAAAAAAAAAUCCUGGAAUUUUCAUUAGAUGUGUUGUUUACAAUUCCUGAUACUUCUUCUAAAAGGGCAUAAAAAAUCUGUAAUUGAACACUGGUGCAGGAAACAGUAUAUUGCUUCACAGAGGAAAAAGGCCUUCAUCGUUUCAUGGGUUCUUAAAUACUUAUAUUUUUUCCAUUAUAACAAAACCAAUGCAAAAAAUUUGAGCAGUAAGUUGAGUGCAAGGUCUUCUAGAGUUCUUCCCUCCCAGGACACAAACAGCUAGAGCCAGUUGUCAUGUGAAAUCAUUAGCAAAAGAACAAUAAGCUGAAAAUCAGUUUGCAUUUGCCAAACACUCUAUUUAAACCUUUUUUGUCGUCAUAAUAGAUUAAAUAACAUGCUGCGGAAGAAACGAAGAUAAAUGCAAUUGUAAACAGUUUAGUACUAGAAAAGGCAUGACAUAGUGAAUGAAAAAGAAGAGAUUGCACGAGUACAGAUACGAUAAAGAUAAUAAAGAGCUUACCAGACGAGGGGGUUCAGAGUAUUCAUAAUUUAAACAUGCAGCAGCUACCGCAUCUAAACUGUGUGUUGCCCAUGGGACUUUGAGUGAGAAAUAAAAACAAACACUUGGGUGGCAUUGCAUGGAAACAUCAACUGCAGCAUAACCCUUUCAGCUUAUCCGCAACAGAUUUAUCAAUGAAAUACUGCCAUGGAAAUGAGUAGAGAAAAUUAGAUGCGGAAUCAAUGAAAACAGUAUAUAUAUUGCAGGAAAAGGGAAUAAAGGAACCUUGUGAAGAACCCAGAGAGAGUGAUCGUAGGUGCGUUGACAGAGGUGAGAGACUUCAGAAGGAUCGAUUCACGGUAAUUGACAAAGUUCUCGCGGGCAUACUUGGCGUUCUACUUUGCUUACUUUAUCGGUGACUCUGGGUGGGAGUAACGGUUGAAGGGUGGCUGCGAUGGAAGCGGAAGCGCGUAGAAGUUCGGACUUGAAGAUUAGGUUCGGAGAAGAAGGUGGGAAGCACUGGACUGAUGCGCUUCCCAUUGGCAAUGGACGCCUCGGAGCCAUGAUCUGCGGCCGCCUCCAUUCCGAAACCAUCCACCUCAACGGUAGUCUUCAUCUUCAUCCUCAUCUUCACCGAUUGCCAUUCAGACUGCACAAUCAAUGCAUGUUUGUAUGCUUUAUUGUUUUGCUUCAGAGGACACGCUCUGGACCGGAACACCCGCGGACUACACUAAUUCUAAAGCUCCACAAGCCCUUUCUCUGGUUAGAAACCUCGUUAACCGUCAACAAUAUCCACAAGCCACUGCUGCUGCUUCUGCCUUAACAGGAUCAAAUCCAUCCGAGGUAUGUAACACCCUUUUCUUUCCCAUUUCCCUUUCAGAUUUGCCCCUCAUUCUCGUGUGAAUUAUGAUGCCCAGGCCUACCAACUUCUCGCCGAUAUCAAAUUGGACUUCGAUUAUUCACAUCUCACCGGCGCUCAACAAACUUACCAGAGGGAGCUGGACUUGGAUACUGCUACUGUCAAGGUCAGCUAUUCCGUUGGAGAUGUUCAGUUCAAAAGGGAGCAUUUUGCCUCCUAUCCAGAUCAAGUCAUUUUGUUUCCUCCUCUCCUUCAGUGGCCCAUUCACAUCACCUUCAGAUUCUAAAAGGGAUCCUACUUCUGAGUGUUUCAGUGUAUUGAGCUCAAUAAGCAAUGUAUCAUUUUCUGACCUCUAUCUUGUAAAAUAUUAUUAUUUUAUUGCAAUAGAAAGUUCUCCAACGUCUAUAAAAUUUAAACUUUUGCAACGUUCAUUCCAACGGUCAUAAUGCAACGUUCAUUCCAACGGUAUUGAAAUUUUGCAACGGUCCUUUUUUUUUAUGUCUAUAAAUAUAACAUCCAUUUCAUUCAUUCCAAGUGCAGCACAAAAAACUCAUUUUCAAUCUCUAUUUUCUCUCUUGAUAUCCUACCUUCUAUCUUAUUCUCUAAAUCUGAUAUCCCCUCGUAUAGAGUUUCCUCCGUUCUCCUCUCCUCACAUCUCAUCCCUCUUUCUUCCUUCUUCGGGAUUCAGCUGGCACAAGGUUCUCUCUCAAGGCUUCGACGACUCUGCUUGGCCACUUUAGACCAAAUCUGGCAGCGCACCUCAUUCCACGCGUCCUCUCUUUUCCCAACUUUGAUUGACAUUUCCUUGCGCAGAUACUCUGGCAAAGUCAAAGUCAUUCCGCAUUAUGAAAUUGCAAAUCAAAAGGUAUGUCACUACCUUUUCAUUAGUUUUUCAGAAUUAGGUCAUUAGUGUGUGUGGACUCUAGUGUUUAUAUGAGGUUAUUAUUAUUGCAGCAUAAAUCAGGCUCCGGCCACGCUCCAUCUGCACCUCCCUAUAUGUCAAAAUCAACUCCUCCAUUCCCUUCUUAUCCUAAUCCUUCUCUAGCAUCCUCCUACCCACCACCUCCUCAUUCUACUUCCUCCUAUCCACCACAUCCCUCUGCAACUCCUUACCACCAUACAACUGGAUCACACCCACCGGUGGCAUCCACAGCCUCAUACCCACCGGUAGCAUCCACAGCCUCAUACCCACCNCCUCCCACAGCUUACCCACCCCAUCCCUCACAUUCAUCUCCCUAUCCACAACACUCCUACCCUGCAUCAUCUCCCUAUCCACCCUCCUCGUAUCCUCCUCCACAUUCCUAUCCGCCUGCUUCAACUUAUCCACCGCCUACAGGUUACACUCCUGGUAACUAUUUCUCUUCUCCUAAUUCAUGUCCACUGCUUACUCACUGCUACUCUGCUCUGCUCUUUCUACCACCAUAUUUUCUUCUUGUCAUGUUUUUCUCCCUCAUAACCACAAACUCUAUCUUUAUUCAGGAAUAUACCCUCCACCGCCAUACUGGCUUGUACAUCACUUUAUAACCCUAUCCCAGCUUUACUUGUUAUCAGAAACCCUGUUUUUGUUUUGUUUCUUAUAUUUUUGCUUUAAGUAGUCUUUAUUCCAUACAUUUAUUUAGUCACGGGUUUAUUUAGCAAAGGUUUGUCAAUUGUGAGGCUCCAUAUCCAACGCUGUUGCAUAUAAGUUUCUCUUCAAUUGCUACCGAUAAAAGGGAUCAUGCCAAAAAGUAAGGGCUACAAUAUCCCAAUCCCCAAUUCUCUCAAACCUCAUUGGCUCUCCGCGAAUAACCACCUUCCAUCUCUUCAAAGGGUUUAGACCGUCAGCAACGUCGAAAAACAACACACGCACUCCGUGUUAUCCUCAAGUAGUCGUUUUCAGAAUUUCCAAAUAUCCCGAAGCCAAGCCACGGGAGGUUCACGGAGGUUCAUGCCCCUGUCUAGAUCCACACACUCACUUCUCGGAGUGGAAAGCUGUUUUGCAUCGUCCAUGGCGUAGAGAAGGAUCCCUUUAAUGGAAUGUAGAUAAAUCUCACAUUAAGAUCCAUGGCGUAUAUUUUUAUAAACUAUAAUGAUUACGGGUGAAAAUAUUUAAAUUCACAUUUAUAUAGAAGUAUAUACAGUGAUUAAAAAAAGUUGUCAAUUGUUAAAAUGUCAUUAUUUUUUUUUUAAACUUAAACUGUAAUAGAUAACUUGCACUCAACAUCUUCUCUUUUUUUCUAUAAAGUAAAUCGUAACACUCUGUGUACAUGAGAAAGAAACAUAUACGACGACGCCUAUUUUCCCCUCUUUUCUCAUGACACUUCUACCACGUAUGGUUGUCAUUCUAAACUACUAUGAUCCAAUCAAUUACGUUAGAGAAAUUUUGACCUCUCAAACCUGAACCUCAUGGUAUUCAUCGUCAAAACUGGUAUAUCUCAAACAGCAUAACACACAAUUUCAUUACUAACAUUUGAAUAAUAUUCAUUAUAGUUGAGAUAGUCCCAAAAACGAGAAAGCCCAAAAUUCCCAUGUUUAGGUCCCUUAAUAUAGCAUAUGUGUAGUUCUUUUAGACUUCUAUCAAACUUCUGCUUUAUAGAAAGCACCUGCAAAUAAAUUCAAAAUAAACAUGAAUAAACAUUGAGAGAUAAAGGAAGAUGCAACUUAAUCCAAUGGCAAGGUGGGGAAUUUUGAAGAAAUGAAUGUGAAUGAGAAAUACACAAGUAUAAGGUGGGAACAAAUACAAUCAAAGGAAAAGGCUACAACAUAUGACCCUUAACCCUUAACUAUUUUCGUUCAAUAUUGUUUUCCAAAGCAUAAAUGUACCAGAUAAAUGAUGCAGAGAUUCUAGAAAACAGCCUGGUUUACCUGGGAUAUAUUGAUUUUGGAAAGUUUGCCCGACAAAUCUUCUGAAUCCCAAGCUCCAAAAGUAAUACAAGACCGGAAAUCCAGUGCACAUUGCAGAAUGCUCUCAAUAAUGCUGCCAACUCCCUUUGUUUCGUCAGAGAGGAAACAUCUGCAACAUACAUAAAAUAAAACACCAGCUGUCAGAAUCAGAUAUGUUUUGCUGUCUAAACUUAAGGGUUGUAAGUAUCAGCAAUUUAAUAAAAGUUUGAAACUUAAAACACUAUCAGUUGUGCUAGUAGUUAGUGUGCAUCUAAAUAAUCAGCCUGCAUUAAGUGGUGAUGAAGUUUACAUCAAACCAUAAAUAUACCCAAACAUCACAUAAUGCAUGCUGAUCUCCAACAUUGAGCAAAUUUCUGGACAUAUAUCAUUCUUCUUAGACUAAAUCCAACACAAGCAUCUAACAUACGCCCAUCUUUUCCCCCUAAUCUUCUGGCCUUAAAAAGAAUGGCAAGACACACCACUUCCUUAAAGCAGUCACCAAGGUGCCCAGUGCCAAUAAUAUAUCACUGUGAUAAAUUGUUUCCUGUUGUUCUUUUAGCAGGAUUGCUGGAAAAGAAAAAAAAAAAAAAAAAAAAACUCCAUUGCAAGAGGCAACACGCUUGAAUUGUCAAUAUCUUAGAAAGCCUUGGAUUGGAAGAUAGGUGAAGAGAAAUGGAUUAGUUAUUGAAGAUGGGGCAUUCUUUCCAAUCUCUAUUACUGAAUGAAUUUCAUGAACAAAAAAAAAACAUUUUUGGUGAAAUCUGCAUGAAGCUCACCAAAUGGUAGAGAAUGGCAUUAAACGAUAAAGAAUAUAUUGCUAAUAUUUUUUGCUUUCAAUGAGAAUAGACACCUUCUUCCUAUGAUUUACGAAUUCAUCAAGAAUUUGAUCACUCCGCAAAUAUUAAAGCCAUGAUGAAAGUUGGCUUGAGCCUCAAGAUGCUAUAAUUAAAUGACACCUAAUGAUAUUAGAGAGCAAUUCAUCGCAGUUGGAAUAUUUUCAAGAAAUGAGAAAGGACCCCUGUUCAAGUUAUUCCACUGAUGCACAUAUUUUAUAUAAAUUUGAGACUGAAAAAGCCUAGACCUGUAGAUACAAAAUAAUAAACAGUUUUGUAAAAGCUGUCUGAAUAGAUAAUAAACAACUAUCUUAUUAACAAUGAUCAAGCAUUCCACUACACAUCAAGAUCCACAAUCCAGCAGACAUUGCAUGAGGUACAAAGAUGAUAAUAAAACAAUUAAUAAUUGAAGAUUGAAAAUUUAUCUUAUUUAUUCACUAUUUACAGAAAAUAAACAGUGCACUACAGUUGACUUUUUUUUUUUUUUUAAUAACUGUCCCUAUAGAUUGCAAUUAAAAAAUAAAUGUGUUUACUUACAUGCAUAAUGAAUCAGCAAGAUAUUCCAUGUGCACUGAUUCAAGAUCCAUCAUAUCUUUAACCUGUAUGAUAAAUGGCACGAAUAUCCAAAAAGUUAUAAGGAAAUUGAAUUACCAGGUCUUAUAGACAAGAUCUAGCCAUCAAAGUUAUCACAAACUGAAAACUAUGAAAUUGACAAUUGAGUGAGGUAGAUGGAAGGUAUGGUAAAUAAAAUUCAAUACAUUUGAUCUUUCUAUAACCCUUAAAACGUAGUCCAUUUUUUUGUAUUUCUAUAACAUUCAAAAUCUACAGUGGAGAUACGGCUAAGAUGACUUCAAAUUUUGUUUAUAAGUUCCUACAUGAGAAUCGUAAAAACAUCCCACAUGAACAAAAUAUUUCCAAAGUUCCUCUUAUGUUAUGCUAUGCGUUCUACCCUUUGGUCGUCAUUAGAAAUCUAAUAUCAGGAAGAUACACAGAGAAUCACAUCACAAAUGCCAAAGGACUUAGAAAUAAUGACAAAUAGUCUGAUUUUGAUUUAUGGGCUUUAUAAUAAAAUAUAUAAACAAACUCACAUCUCACAAAGAAAGAAGGAUGAAUGGAUUAAAUUAAACAGAGGGGAAAAUAGAAGUUUGAGAAAAAGAUGGAAAAACCCCUAAAUUUACCUGAAAAGACUAUUUUAUUUUAUUUUAAAUUAACUUUGAUAAGUACCCAAGUCCAAGUGUACUCAAUUUGUAAUAGUACCCCUGAGAAGUAAUCUUCUAUAAAACACAAUGCAUAAGCAGUUACAAAACAAAGUGUACUUUUAAAUGAAACGAAAGAUGCCCAGAGAAUGAUAACUAAAUAAAAUAAAAUAGCUAUACAAGUUAGAAACAUUUGUCUCAAACCUUAUGUUCAAGGGAAUGAAGAAACCUGCACCAUGAUACAUGAGAUAAUUGUGACUCAACAUACUGCUGCAAAGUAGAUACAAAAUGGUUUAUCUGGUGCCUGUCAUUGAAAGUAGAACAAGGAUGCUUAGAAUUACAAAUAUCAAUAUAAAAGUUCAUCUUCAAUAUUUAAACAGUGCUCAUUAAGUAUCCCUUUAUAAUCAGUGGGAAAGAAAUGGGUAACUGUUGUAUCUUUCAGAACCCUACCCACAGACCAUACCAUCUGAACCUCCAUACAUUUAGAAAAACAACUUUCAGUACCUCAUCUUCAUCAAUAUAUUAAGAUGCCCUGCCUCAAGUUGUAGUUCAGAAUUUUUAUCUUUGUUGGUUGCGUCCAUCAAAUCCUGUUCACCAAAAUUUAUAGAAAAUAAAUUCCAUUACAAUUACACAAUAAGAAGUUCUUGGAUUCUUUUGGAAAUGAACACAGGUAAAAGAAAAAAAGAAAAAAUUUCAAGAAAUCACACCUUUAAUGAGCACCACACAUCUGUCAAUGAAAAAAUGGCAAGCUUCACUUGUAUCAAAAAGCUGAAUAUAUCAGCAUAUAUUUUCAACGCGGCAGGUGUUAAAACAAUACUGAGUGGCCAGUGCACAUGGUAACCCAGCCCUAAGAAAUCAAAAGAACGAACCCCUGCCAAUAUUUACAAAUUCAUUACUUGAUGCCAAAGUGAGGAUAAUUGGUGGGGGAGCUUAUCAAGCUUGCAAUGAAACUAAAAAUAGAAAUAACAUUAACAACUGCUAUCAAUAAAAAUGUUCAAAAGCCAAAAGCUAAUCAAUGUUGUUCACGGUAAAUUAUUUUUGCGGUGAUUGUUAUUUACACAGGAAAUGAGUACAGUAAUAUGCUACAAAAGGCACUCAUAUAGAAACUGAAAAUCCUAUCUAAUUUAAUUAUAUAAAAUGGCUGGAAAUUUUUUAAAAUUUUAAAAAUCAAAUGAAACUUGACUAAAUAAGGAAUAUGCAAUAGAAAAGUAUCAUUAAAAAUAUAGUUGCCAUUUGUAGUUAACUUGAAAUAAUGAUUUGUCCUUUUUUUCAGAUUGUGAUGAAAAUAGCAUACUACGUCGUUAGGAAAAGUAAAAAUUGAUUACAACAGGGGAAUCCCCUUUUUAUAUUAGUAUGGAUGUACCAAUAGCAGAUGCAGAAAGAGGCAAUUUCCCAUGUCCUUUCAUAUACACAAACAACAUAUCCUUGUGAGAAUCUUGUUCACAAGAAGACUUCUGAAUUGACAACUCAAGUAGACCUUGAAUUUCUGAAAGUCUCUCAUUUGCUUCAGUAACAGACCACUUCUGUAAUUUCAAGUAAACCAAAGAAUGAGUAAACACAGAUUAUUUAAGGACAACAGUCAGCUGCAAGAUAUGAAUCUAUGAAAUAUUCUACAAGUUAUUCAGAAUCAGAAUUUAGGAAUACAUGAUGCCAAAGAGACAAGAUAAACAAAUCUGCCCAAUCUGCCAAUUCCAUAAAAUGAUACCGCCGUAGUGCCAAAAGAUGAUCUUGUAACUUAAAUGCUUCCUCGAGGACACUGAUGGUAAGCUUGCUGACAUAAUUGUAUCUGAAAUCUUUAAGGACAAGCAGCACAAGUACACCCUGAAAGCAUUAUACUGAGCAUCUCAACUCAUUUCGAUUGUGGAAUAGGGACCAUAAAUGAAAAAAGAUGAAUUCUAAAAUGAUAUUAUCUGAGAAAUUUUAAUAAAGAUCUUGCUAACCAAUGACCUUAAGGCAUUAGUUGAACAUGAUCAAAAACAAAAUUUUAAUUGGCAAUUACACGGGUGCAUCAGAAAUUAUGGUGAGAGUACACUCAUAACACCGUUUCACAAAAAACACUAAUUUUAAGUCCUUAAUCAAUGUCUUUAUGGCACUGAUUAGCAUUUGCCUCUUAAUAAAAUGUGUCAAUUAAACUUAUUCAACAAACUUGCACCUUAAAAACAUAACUGUCAUCAAAGACUUUCAAACUAAUAUCAUGUACCUAUUAUGCAUGUUACCCAACAUACUAUCAUCAUCUGCACUUAUAAGAACUGACAAUCUACCAAAUUAGCAAUUAUUCCAUUUGCCAAUUUUUACACAUAAAAACCUUCACAUGGUCAUGAAAUUAGCAAUAUCCACUUCAAGAUAUGAUAUUUUAAACAAGUUAGCUGCACAAAUUGCAUCUUGUUAUGACAAUAAUACUUGAAAUACACCGACACCUAUAGAGCAGAAAUUUCAAAUGCCAUCAAUUGGUCAAUGUAGCAUGUCCCACCUUAGGAUCAAGGACUGUUUGUUUUGGUUGAAGAAGCAUUCUCACAUUUUAAAACACUCAAAUAAAAUACUAACACGGAUCUUUCAUGGUUUUUAGCUUCUUGAUCAGACAAUUUUGAAACCCAUUCCAACAGGUCUCAUGAAGUCAAUAGUAAGAUGAGAUUGGAAUGACCAGAAUUAGACUUCACUGAACUGGGUAUUCAUGAUAAAUUCAUACUAGUUUAAUCUAAGUACAUUCAGAGAAAUAGAAGCAAUAUACAUAAACUAAUCAAUCAAUUUUGCCAGAAUAAACACAAAGAAAAGGAUACUGAAGCAUGAUUUCCUGAAGCAAGCACUUGUCAAUUAUAAUAUCAAGUGGUAUAUCAAAUGUUGACGACAAACUUCGUUUUUGAGUAUCAUCACAAUUGACAGUUUUUUCAAAACUACUCAGCAAUCUUUCCCAGCUGCUCCCACCAGACACAACAUUUAAAUAUUUAUGGUCCAUGAAGUCAAGUGAAGAACAUAAAUUUGGAACAUCAACUAACCCAUUCUCUCUACCACAGCCAAUUUCUUCUCGUUCAUUAUUCUCAGCAUUAUGAGUUGACACAUUAUUAUGUAGCGUAAAUGAACAUGCACUGCUACAUCUAGAGUUAGUGGGUAUUUUGUCCAUAUAAACCUUACAUGGGUCCUCCACAGUAGAAAAGUUGAAGUAAGGCAAAAGCUGUCCAUGUUCAGCCUUGUAUUUUUCCUCAUUCCCACUCAUCAGGUGAAGAACUGAAUUUCUUGUCAACAUAGGAUUCACACUAAGGGGAUUAAUGCUAGGAUAAUUACACUGACGGCAAUAUUUCUGCGGUUGGAAAUCAUACAAUUGUGAAAUGAGUGUACCAUUGUCAGUUUGAUCCUCCAUCAUGGCCUCCCCACUCAAAGUAUCACUAGCAGUAAUAACAUCAUGGCAUAACAUAGAAUAUCUCAGGGAUCCCAGGUGCUUUUCAUUCAGCUUUGCCUCAACAACUCCAUCGUUAUCAAAUGAAGUUUUCAAAAAUUCACCCAUUGCAGAACAACGGACAAUCAAACUCUCUCUAUAUUGAAUACUGGAUUUACAUGAGCAGCUUGAAUUCCCUGGUUUUGGAGAAUUAGACUUGUGACUUGAUAUCAUUCCCUCAUGGGAGGACUGCACCAAGUGAUCAGUAGCAUCCCUUCUAUCACAAAGUUCAUGUGAAUCACUGCCUGAGUUUUCAUGAUGAAAGGAAUUUUGUAUUGAAUUAUUUAAGGUGGCACUCUUCAAGAAGCUUAAAGCAGAUAAAUGAUUUUGUUGCCCAACUACCGGACAAGACCAAUUACUUAGCUGAUCACAAUCCAAUUGCUCCACAGAGCUGUUCGUGGAUGAACUUUCAGAUAUAUCAUACACAUCUUCCAGCAAGGAGAACUCAUCUACUGUGCUUGAGACAUCAGAGCCUAAAUCACCAAUGCCCCUGAGAAAAUCUAUAAAACAUCAAUGAAGCAAAAACAAAGGGAAAUAAAGUUGUCAUGGAAAAAAAUACGAUGUCAAGCAGCAAAUAAACAGAAGCAUGCUACUCGGUACUUGUAUCUUCAUGCUCACAUGGAAGGGGGAUAGUCAGAUGAGGGGAGUAGGAAAUUACAUAUUUAAACUUCUUUUAUCUGCUAUAUUGUUUUCUGACAUGAUCUGGUCUAGUUUGUCUAAGGUACCUCCACCAUUACCAAAAGAAGGCACUAAAGCAUGCAUAGCUACCUGCCAAAGAAAAAUGGUAAAGAAAUAAGUAUCUGCACAAAAUGAAGCAGUCUGCUGUCCUAAUCCUGCAACUAUCUUAUUUUAUACUUCCUAUGGUCCUUUUAUUGAAGUUUCUCAUUCCAAAACUUAUUGUAGAUCAAAACAAAAAGUAUAUAACAUCACUUAAGCAAAUGGAUAAUGAUGAAAAAUAACUGCUAUAAUGGCCGGCUAAGCAUUGGUGUCUUUUGGCAAAUCAAUUGAGACAUUGUAUUUGCAUGUAACAACAAAUAUAACAAUUACAGGAAAGUGACACUUCCACUGGACCACAUAACAUCAUGAUGAAAAGAAACAAGAUUUUAAUGAUAAAGAAAAACACAGUAAUUUAUAGCACAAAGUAAAAAUAUAAAACAAAAUUAUCAUCAUAUCUGCAGAGCAGCAAUAGUGUGUAGUUACUCUCUCCUAAAUCAUAGCAGGCAUUAUGAAAACAAAAAUACCACAUUUUUUGCAACUCUACUUGAUUAUAUUAUAUCAAUGACUAACCCUCCUAGAAGUUUACCACUGUUGGGUGAAAGGUCAUCAAUGGCAUUAUUACAUCUCUAAAAUAUAACCAAGUGCAAGAGCUCUGUAAGCUUGAAACAUGGGCAAUGCACGUACCCAUUUCAUGUGUCAAAAUUCAACUUUUAUUUAAAGAAUUAGGGCAGCAAGAGUCAAAUUUCUGACCAUUUGGUCAUAAAGACUUUCAUACUGGUCAAGAUCCAACGCUUGCCAAAAGCACAAGGCACUAGGUAAGUGGUACAAAGAUAGUUUUUAAUACCUCCUAGCAUAUUAGAAGCAGAAUGCUAAAUGGAUAAAUUAUACAAAAUUAAGCAGGGGAAUAUCUUGCCAGAGGUGUGAUUUAACAAAAGCAAUAAUUUGAUGCAUUUUGCCAGGAAAUAAACCAAUUUUUUUUCCUUGAUUAUGGUGUUCAGCUAGUAUGUUUAAGUGGGUUUCCUGCUUUUUAGUGGUAAUUGCACAAGAACAAUUUAGAGGUUGUUUAGUUUGAGGGUGCUUUCUAUUUUCACUUUUAAUUACAAAAUAUCACCUUGUUUUCAUUUUAUUUCUUUUCAAAGGUUUGUAUAGAAAUUAGCAAAAACAAAAUACAAUUGCUUUCAUUAUUUUCUGCACAAACUUUUAAAACAAGAAUAAGAUAAAAACAAGGCAGACUUUGUAAUUAAAAGUAAAAACAAAAAAUGAAAAUAGAAACAUUUUUUCAAACCAAAAAGAUUAAAGUUCUAGCCUCGUAACCCUUUUCUUCUAUCAUGCAAAUAAAAUACUGUGUUAUUGCAAAAUAACCAAAACUAUGGAGGAUGAGCACCUGCAGAUAUCUAACUUCUAAACUGCUCAAAAGACUUCCAAUUUUCUCAUUCAUCCCUUUAUAAUAAUUUUCUCUAGCAAGCACCAUAGCUUCUAUAACAUCCUUGCUGAAAGCCAAUGGAGAUGAAUAAGACAGACCACUGCUUGAAAAGCCACUCCAGCAGGGUACAAAGUCAUCACAACUGUGUUCUCCAGAAGCAACAUGAAUGCACAUUUCAAGCAAUUUCAACAGUACUUGAAGCUGCUGACCAGCUCUAACAAGUGGGACCAAGAAAUCUUUGAGAAAUUCAGGAAUGGGAACUCCAUCUCGCACCUAAUGUUAGAUGUUCCCACCAUCAGAAUCAAUAAUAUGACAAUGUAAUAUAAAGUUAUGAUUCAUACGAAAAGUGCAAGCAGCCAGCAGGAAAUAAUUACCUUCACACUUGCCAAUGGAAAGUCAAUAGCAUUGCCAACUUUAACAUGUGUUUUAAGAUGUAAAUACUCCAUAUUUUCUACAAUAAACUCCUUAUAUGGAUCAUGAAUUUCUGCUUUGAAAAUCCAUGAUCUAAUGAACCCACAAUAUGGUUCACAUGAUUGAAGGAAAAGAAACUUCAGCAGAGUGCAGUGAGCAGGAUCAGCAACCUAAAUUGCAGAAGGCCAAAUAGAAUACAAGAUUUUCAAUAAAGAAAAGUCAUUUAAAAUAGAAAGAUCUUUCGCAGGUGUAAUGCAAUCGUUCCAUUGCAACAAAUACGUAAAACAUUGAGUAGGUAGGCCCCUCAUGACAAUUCUACUCUCCACUAGCCUGUCAUCUCUCCAAUUUAAAAUUGUAUUUGUAUCUUUCUGGAUGCUACAACUCUUCUUGUCCAAAUGUCCUUUGACACCAGAAAAAGAAAAAAAAAAAAAUCCAACAAUCUUCCUACCAUAAUAAGCUAUUUUGUAAUCCAUUAAUCACCAAAAAAAAAAUAUUGGUAUCCCAAACUAAUCUUUGUUUGUCCCCUUCUAAAAUGAUAAUUAAGGGAUUCACCAAAAGAUAAGUAUAGGUGGAUAUAUGCCAUGAAGUAUUCAUUUAACAGUGCCCUUGAUUGAAACUUCAGUGUUUGAAUAAAAUAAUAACUAAGAGAUAAUAACGAAACGGGAAACAAAUUCUAAGAGAUAAGCUAAAAUUUUACAAGAUAUAAACAAAGAGUCUGUUUGAUAUUUUCCAUAUAUUCUAACAAUAGGUUCACAUUCAAAUAAGCAAACCUGUAAUUGUGAAAACAAAAACGUUAACAGAUUUGCCCCUCUGCAGAAGUUCCGAAAUUCAGAAGUAGCCUGGGUAACCAGGUCCUCAAAAGCAGUAUCUGGAAAACGAAGAGCCCACUUUUGAAGGUUACAUACACUAGCAAGGGCUUCAAUCUGAGUCUUUAGUUCUUUUGUGUGCAGAUAAAACUCAAGUAGUGUAAUUUCAGAAUGCACUACAUUCUUCAAACACCCCGGAACAGUCAAAUGCAUGUUUUUUGAUGAACGCCUCAAGAUUACAGAUGUAUGAAUUGUGUCCAAUCCACAUAUGUACCCUUCCAAGACUUUUCCCACAGCAACAGCAAAGGCUUGAUUGACAAGAGUAAAUGGAGGGAACUGUUGUGCUCUGACUGUGUCAUCCUGAUGAAUCUGGCUUUGGAGCACAUCAGAAUUAUGAUGAGUGUGUCCAAAACUGAUAUCCACAUUCAUAUUUGUAUAAUAAUCCACAAACGCGCGAAGAAGAAAGACCAGAGAAGCCGUGCAGCCAAUGGAUUUAAGUAUAUUUCCCAAAGAACGAGUGCUGGAAGCACGAUUCCAGAGGUUGGGAACGUGGAGGAAGGUCCUGUCAGCUGGAUCAGAACAAAAGACGGCAGAUAUCCUUUGAAUGCUAAUAAGGGAUGAUUUUGCACCUUGCAUCGCGUUCAUGGCCAGCCUCACCAAACUAGAUUCCUGUGGCCAAAGACGUCGGUUCAAUUAAGUUCAAAAUGUAUAGAUAGAUAGAUAGUGAUGGAAAACCAAAGCCUAAGAAAGUAGGAAAGCAAAUGUUGGAAAUCGACUAGGUUAGUUUGAGACGGUAAAACGCAUUGCAUUACAGUGGAAAGCAGGAAUGAAGACGAAUAGAAUAGGUUAGAAGAGGAACUUACAGAGAGAGUGGAGAGGUGAGAGAGAGGUUGAUUUGGAGGAUGAGAAGAAGAUGAAGAAGAGUGCAGUCCACUCUCAGAAGGUAUGGAUUCCCAUGAAUUUGGGGGAAGCCAUGGAUCCUCUACCUUCAAAUCCUCCAAUAACCGCGCAAAUUUCGUAUCAACCGCCAUGGCUGCUUCCCUUCUCUUGGAGUGAUGAAGUAAUGUAUCAAAGGAAUUUCAAAAUAAAUUCAGAUUCUAUCUCAUCUCAACCAAAUCUCUCUCGCUCUUCCCUUCCCCGCCCCUACUUUUUAAAUUAUAUAUACACUCAAUAUUUACAAACAUCUGAUUUUUUAUGAAUUUACCAGAAAAUUACUAAAAUAUGUAAAAUUAAAUUCGAUUGAACAAAUUCCUUGAACAUUUACUUUGAACAGGCUUUAUAUGAAACCAGAAUUAUGUAGCUCAAGAAGAUUUACUAUCAAGUGAGUGAUAUAACAGAAGAAAACAAAAAGAUAAAUUACUUACAUUUAAUCAGGUGAAAAACAGAAAAUAAAAAAAACUUUGCUCCUUAUUAUUACAUUACAAAUUAUAUAUAAUUUUACUCUUUUUUUAAAUAAUUAAUAAAAGUCGAAAACGAAUAAAAUUAUAUAUAUAUAUAUAUAUAUAUAUAUAAUUUUAUUAUUUUCAUGAUUAAACUUCUUUCUAUCAUAAAAAAGAUAUAAAAGUAUUGUUAUAAUAGUAAUUGAAAUAAAAAUUAUUAUUAAAUUAAAGAAAAUUUCAUAAAAAAUAAUUAUAAAAAACUAAAUAUAAAUUUUAGAUAUUUUUGAUUUAUUUUAUAAAUAUUUUUUUAAUAUAAGUAAUUUUUUUAGUUUUAAAACUAAUUCUUUAAAAAGUAAAAUGACAGAAAAUUGUGUAAAUACGAAGGAUUUAUCAAUGUUAAAAAUAAAACCAUUAUAAUGAAAAGUAAUCGUAAAAAUAAUUAUUUGUAUACUUUUAUUGUAGGUAAUUUUUUUAAUUUUUAAGUAAUUCCUUUUAUUAUAAAUAGUUAUUUUAGUUUAAUAAAACAAUCACCUAAAAGAUAAAAUGAUGAGAAUUUGUGUAUAUUGGAAGAAAAAAAUUCAUUUUACUAAUGUUAUUUUUAAUAUAAAAACAUCUGAAAAAUAAAUAUUUUUCAAUUUAUUUUAUUAAAAUACAAAGCAAAUAUCAUGAUUUGGAAUGAAUGACAAUUUUAAAGGCAAAUACUUGUUAAGGUGAUUGUUACUAAUUUACCAUGCAGAGAAAGUUAAAUUUAUACAAUUAUAACAAGGUGCAUUUAAGAUAAAAGUCAACUAAUUUAAACUUGGAUAUUUUAAGGACGUCUUAUUUUAAUUUGUUUACGUCAAAAAUUUUACUUGUACUAAACUAACAUAUUGUAAUGUUUUCUUUUCAUUUUAGUUGUAAUUUUGUUUCAACUUCAAUAUAAUUUUUUAAAAUAUAUUUUUUUAUGUUACAUACAAUAAAACAUAUUACAAUACAAAUACUAGGUAUUAUUAAAAGGUCUCUUAUAAUUUUCAAUUCAAUCUGAAUCAAUUUGAUCAUUUUCUAAACAUAUCAAUUAAACCUUUUUUUUUAUUAUUAUAUCAUAUCAACCAAAACUAUUCUUAAUUUUUUUUUAAUCAUUUUCUUUCACUUUUUCCUUUCUUUUCUUUUUUUUCCUUUCCAUUUUCUACUUUCUUGUUUACACUUCUCUGCCCAAACAUAAAAUUAAUCUUUUCUCAAUAGAAACUCAUACAUAUUGCUCUAACCAUCUCUAAACCACAAACACAAAUAUAAUAAAGAUUCUACUCACACUUUCUUAAAAUAUGUCUAAUUAAUGGGUAAUAACAUUUCUAUAGCAUGGACAGCAAAAAUAUACUUACUGACAGGAAAAAUAUACCAGUUAUCGUAAUGUGGCUAUGAUGGACAAAAUAAGAUUGAAGGAACUGUUACAAAGUGGCAGAUGAUUCUCUCUUUCACUGGUUUAAAUUCCUGUGAAUCAACUGACCUGAAUUUAAUUCAAUGACACUGCUAUGUAGAGUAGCACUGUAGCAUGACAGAGUCAGCAUAGCUUUAUGGUUAGGAAAAAUGAAAUUCCAAAUGGUGUGACAACAAGCUCAAACCAACAUCUGGUGAAUUCUGAGGAAACCCGAGCGGAAGAAUUUGCGUUGUAAAAAUCGAGUGAACUAUAAUUUAGAAAGGCUGAGAAAGAUAGACCAUUAACUCAACAAUUUGUGACAUCCCAACUUCUUUGCAUGUAUAGAGGCAAAUCCGCGACCAAUUCAAGCCGUUCCACUUGUGAAAGAUCACAAUUGGAAAAUGAUUGCACAUUUUGCAGUGCCUGAGAUAUAUUGGGUAAGACUAUUUGCUUGCAAUGAAGAUGUAAACGAGGAUGGUUCUCAGAGAUGCUCCCAUUGUUCAAAUUAAGGCCAAAGGGGAGUGUUUCUUCCUUGAAAAGCUCUUCACAUGAGUCCUCCACAUUAGACAAAUCAAAACCUCCCCACUGCCUGUGAGCCUGCCAUCCAUACUUGUAGUCCCCAACUAUCGGUGUACCUAACACCUCGGCACAGUGCACUCGAAGCUGUGGCACCAGUAUACACUCUUAGAAUAGAAAUUAUAGUGAGUCAUAUAAAAUAAUUUUAACAUUUUAUGUUCUGACUGACACAAAUUUCAAAUGAUUCUUCCCUAGUUUUUGUUACCUGGUGUUUUCUACCAGUUAAAGGGGACAACUCCAACCAUGUGUAACCUGCACUAUGUGAGAUGGCAUAAGUAGGGGGUGCCAGAUAAGAAGAGCUGAGGCGAAGCACUUGACAGGAAAAUUCAUGCUAAAGAGGGUAGACAAAAAAUACACAUCACAAUUUUUCUACAAAUGUAGGUUCAAUAUUGGCAAAUAUAUGUUGUUGAGAUUAAAAUCAGAUCCCCUCUAGCUGGUGCGUUUACUUAUGCUUUUGGCAGACUGUAAAUUCUAUUUCCCAAACAUGAAAUAGUCAAAGUCAUAUUUGGUACGUGACCAUUAGCUCUUUUUGUCAGGGACUCUCUGCCUUUCUAGUAUCAAGUGGAAAUGUUGAACAACAUUAUUUAGUAAAACAAUUUGUAAGCUAAAAUAGUUUGGAAGCAUGCAUUUUUUUACAUCGCACAAACUUUAUAAGCAGUAUUGUUAAAAUUUGCUUCCAGAACACUAACGACAUUUAAUGACCCCAACUCAUUAACAAUUAGUGAAAACGAGAGUGGCUGAAACUGGGGUCCUAAAGAGUUUAAAAUAUCACAAAAACAUGUAACACGGGAAAAUAAUGGAAUUUGUUCUUAUCACUCUCAAAGAAAAUUUGUGAAAUUUAAUCUUAGAAUUAAAAGUAAGCUUCAUUACCAACCUUGUGAUGAUGAUGCAAUCACUCGGUACUCUGUAAUUGCAUGCUGUGAUGACAAUGAUGCAGAAUUGUCAACUACAGUUAUUCGAUCAGAUUUCCCAUUGUCAACUACCACCUGAAAACAAAUAAAGGGCUGCAAGUUUACAACAUUAUCAAGCAAGAAUAAGGAGCUUUCUAUAGCUACUCAAAUCAAUGUCCAUUUAUUUAAAGCUAUAAGUUAAUUUAGGUUGUAGGCUAUUGCAUAGUAAGUUGUAACUGUAAGGCCUAAGCUUUCAUGUCAUCAUGCAUUGCCAGAUAGUUGGCAGCAAUCCAUGAAUGUAGGGCUUCAUUUUAUGGAUACUAAGAAGUUUUUUUUGAGCUUGCUGUUAAAGCAUUAAAGGAACCAUCGUGACUAAAACAAGGAUUUAUCAGAAAAUCAGCUACCCAUAAGAAGAUAAAAGGAUUAAAGGACUGAGGUAAAUUCAUCCUGCAUAACACUCCCCACUAUUUGAGGAAAAUAAUUGUUCAAACUUCCUUUGACAGUGAAAGCCAUGAUAAAUUUAGUAAUUACUGACAGCAUAUACUACUGGUUGCAGUUCAGUGCAAAGCAUUUUUUUUAUUUAUGCACACUACAAAAGUAAACAUUUUAUAAGUUUGACAAUUCUGAUACGAAAUGGAUGAAGCAUGCACAAAGCAUAACAUUCCAGGAGUAAGAUUGACCAACUGAAAUAUUCUAGUAAACAGUUAACAAGCAACAAUAUGGAUACAACCUUACCCAGUGAAGCAGUGACCAACCCCUUUGAACGUCUAGGACAUCCAAGGACAAGUGCCCAAUACCUUCUUUGUAGUAUUCUCUUCUCUUCGCCAAUCUAUUUAAGAUCAAACAGCAAAAAAUCAAGAAAAGCAAUGAAAUGGACAUAGACCCUAAGAAACUAAUACUCUGAAUGUUUUAGCAUACACGAAGCAUUUGAUGUAAAAGAACAAUUAUUUUACUCACAUCAUCUAAUGCCCUAGAUGUUUUCUCCCGAAAGAUGGAAUGCAGAACUGUGGUACUUGUCUGUGUUCUUCCCAUCACCAGUAGGCCAGAACAGUCUCUGUCUAGUCUAUGCACCUAAAAACAAUUUCGUUCAAGUAUCAGCCUAAUAUCUAGUUCAUGCUUCAUGUAUCCAAACAACCAUCAAUCAUAUUGGCACGGGACUAAAACACAAGGCAAAUAAUCCGACUAAUUCCAUUGAAGUUAAGUUCAAGCUUUGUAAUGAUUAUAACAGAUGAAACGGUAUUUGAUAGAAGAAUAAUAAAUAAUAAUGUUUACCACUUUCUUUUACGAAGAUACCACUGGGAUUUUUCUAACUGUCGAGUCUUGAGUAUACGAACAAUUAAAGUUUAUCUAAUGAUAAAAUUAAAAAAAAAAAUCCUGCAAUUUUUAUUAGAUGUAUUGUUUACAAUUGCAAGCAAUUCCUGAUACUUCUAAAAGGGCAUAAAAAAAAUCUGUAAUUGUACACUGGUGCAGGAAACAGUAUAUUGCUUCACAGAGGAAAAAGGCUUCAUCGUGUCAUGGGUUCUUAAAUACUUAUAUUUUUGCCAUUAUACAAAAAACCAAUGCAAAAAUUUGAGCAGUAAGUUGAGUGCACGAUCAUCUUGAGUUCUUCCCUCCCAGGACACAAACAGCUAGAGCCAGUUGUUAUGUGAAAUCAUUAGCAAAAGAACAAUAAGCUGAAAAUCAGUUUGCAUUUGCCAAACACUCUAUUUAACCCUUUUUUGUCGUCAUAAUAGAUUAAAUAACAUGCUGAGGAAGAAACGAAGAUAGAUGCAAUUAUAAACAGUUUGGUACUAGAAAAGGCAUGACAAAGUGAAUGAAAAAGAAGAGAUUGCACAAGUACAGAUACGAUAAAGAUAAUAAAGAGCUUACCAGACGAGGGGGUUCAGAGUAUUCAUAAUUUAAACAUGCAGCAGCUACCGCAUCUAAACUGUGUUUGAUAUUAAUGCCACCCUAAUGAGAGACAUGGAAAGCAUGUGUAAGAAUUAAUGAGUGAAGAAGAGUAUGGCAUCCCCAGAUGAGAGGGUGGGCCCAUACCUGCACAGGCAUUCCCGGAGGUUUGUUGAGGACGAGAAUGGCAGGAUCCUAAACACAUUAACAAAGAUUAAGAUUAAGGUGAGAGGAACAUAUGAGACAUGGAAAAAGAAAAAAGGAGUUAACGUUGAAAACCUUGAAUAUAACAAAUUUGCGGAUGAAGUUGAUUUGUUGGGGAGUGAGAGGAGAAUGAGGUUUGUGCGUAGGCGUUGGUUUUUGUUGAACAGAUUGAGGCAGUAAAAUCCGAUCUCCAGCGUUCAAGGUGUACUUAGCUGCCACCUUCAUUCCUCGAUGUUAUGAUAAUACGAUGGGUGGUAUAACAGGAGAAGAAGAAAAAAUGAAUGGAAGAGAUGAGAUGGGUGCUUACCCUUUUGAGUGUUUGCUGUUGCAUGUCCAUGUGAGGGGGAGAGAGAAGUCGAACUUGUCUCAGACGGAAAAGCUUGUGCAGAAGGGAUAUGGGGAGGUUUGGGCAGCAGCGAACAAUCCAUUUCAGCGCGGUGGUGGAAGUGGAGGAGAGUUGGUUUCCCUUUCCCUUUCUCUUUCCAUUCACCUCCACGGUGGCAGUCGCCGCCACGGGAGGCAGCGUAAGCCAUUUCUCCUCCAGCUGCCUUCCCGCCGACAAGUGCCGCCGACCACUCCUCAACGCUCUGAACAUCCAUUCUGCUUGUGCCGCCAUCGUCAAUCUCAUCUUCACAGGGUUUCAGUUUACACCCUCUUCUCUCUUUCUUGUUUUUCCUUUCUUAGCAAAGCAAAUCAUAACACGUCCAAAUUUAAAUUUGAAAAUCCAUCAAAUUUUCUACAUCCUUGUAGCUCUAUGAUCAUGGAGAAAUGCAUCUGAAUCAGGGAUAAAUGUAUUUUGAAAGGUUUAUUAGAGGUGAGAAAUUUAAUUAUUAAGAUUAUGGUGUUUCUCUGAAAAAACCUCUAAAAAUUUAAUAAUUUAAAAAAUAAAACAAUUUCAAUAAAAAAAUCAAAUUAAUAGAUUUUAAUUUAUUUAUAGCUAUAUAAAAUUUUCUAUCUGGUUAACAAGCUAUAUACUAAUAUCCUAACAAAUAUUUAAAGAACGUUUUUUAUUUUUUACAUUAUAUUGAAAAAAUAGUUUAAAUUUUAUGUUUUUUAUUUGAACUUGACACUCACAAUUGUCAUAGAUUCCUUCAAAAUAAUAUUUGAAAUAGUUAGCGCCUUAAACGUUGAUGUGGUAAAACAUGUAUAUUUUUCUAGCUACUAUUCAUGUCCACAGUAUAUACAGUAAUACUACAAUUGAAUUUAAAACUUACUAAAGGUUGCACUUUAUUAUUGUAAAAAUAUAAAACAUUUUAUCCACGAAGACAACUCACAAAUCACACCUAUUAACUACUAUAAUUUGAUGGUCAAGCGAAUAAAAGACUAAUAUACCUUGUUAAUAUAAUAGACUAAGCCUCUGUUCUUAUGAAUGGAUUUGGGGGAGAUGAUUUGAGUGGAUUUAAAGGUAAUUUUGUUGUUGUUUUUUUAGUAGAUUUGUGGGUAAUUGAGAGUGAAUUUGAGGGUAAAGUUUGUGAGAAUUAGUGUAGGAUUUGAUUGAUGUGAUAAAAUUAAAAAAUUUGUUAAAUUGGUAGAAAUGAAAGAUUACCAAAAUGCCCCUAGUUAUUUUAGUAAUAUAAAAUGUUUUUUUAAAUGUUAUAUUUAAAUUUAUAAUUGUUAAUAAAGAAAGGAAAUUAAUUUAUAAUAAGUGAAAUUAAUUUUUAAAAUAUUAAAAAAAUAUUUUUAAGUAAAAACAUCAAAGCCUGGAACCGGAUACGCACUCCAUGUAUCCGGAUACGCUUCUUUUCCAUUUUCUGAACAAAACUGUAUCCGGAUACAGCAACAGUGUAUCUGGAUACCUGCACCACAUUCACGCCAUCUUCAUCAUCAAGCUUCGUCUUCUUCUUCCGCCGGCGUCAUCGGCCUCCUCCUUCGUCUUCAUCAUCCCCUCUGCACAACCACACGUCUUCCACCUGCAAAAAAGAAGGUGGAUAACUAUGCCCAAGACUGCAAAAUCACAUGGCAAUGCAAAAGAACAGUUCUCUCGUGAAACAACAGAGGGUAGAUGAGUCUUUUCCGAUUAAAUCAUCGCAAAUCCUCUCGUUUUUGCGAGAUGGUGAGACAAUGCAUAUAAGUCACUCGUCGCAAAUCCGUCCGCGUACAAUCCGUUCAAAGGAACGCAAAAUUUGAAAGUUUCCUCGCUCGCAAAUUGGUGUGCACAGUAAAAUCAGUGCAAAUGAACAAAGCGUAAGAGGUUAUGAAUGAAAAUAGAAAAAUCAACACUAAAAAAUUGAAUUAGUGAAAAAAAAAAUCAUCUCAUAUUUUAUAAUUUUAAUGAAAGCAUAUUUAAAAAAAAAAACGUUAAUUAUAAAAUAUUCUUUUAAAUAUAACAUUGGGAAUACAUUCGUGUGUAAGUAUAGAAAUAUACAUAUGAUGAAUAUCUUAUUAUAUUUAUUAGACAAAAUUUAACAUCACAAAUUAAACUAUUAGGCUCACAUGUUGAUUGGAUAAAUAUAUUAAACGAAUUUAUUCAUAUGUUAACCAGGUAAGUUUCUGAAUAACAUGAAAUAAAUAUUUUCAAAUACAAAUAUAAUCAUUUAUAUUAUACGAAUUUAUCUUCAAAUACAAAUAUAAUCAUUUAUAUUAUACGAGUUUAUUUGUACAUUAAUAAGAUAGAUUCAUCAAUACAAAUUAAAAAAAAAGUUAUCUACUAAUUAAACAAAAUUGUUACUCUUUAAACAAAUUUAAUGAUAUACAGUAAACUACUGUGAUUAUACAACAAUUAAGUAAAUAUAUUAAUAAACAUGAGUAUAUUUAUAUAUUAAUUAGAUAAAUCUAAUAACUAGACGAAUGUACCAUUUUAUGAUUACAUAAAUCUCUUAAUAUACAUAAAAUUAAAUUAUUCACAUACUGUUUAUAUAAGUCUAAGAAUGUACUCUACACAAAUAUAUCCAUACAAUCAUUAUACGAGUCUAUUAGCAUUUGUUAAAUAGAUUUUUUAUACACUAAUUAUAUUAAUAUAUAUAUAUAUAUAUAUAUAUAUAUAUUAAUUAUUAGACAAAUUUAUUAAUGUACAUUAAGAGGUUACACAUAUAAUGAUUUAACGAAUGUAUACAUAUAUACAAAUUAAACAAUUUUAUUUAACAUUAUUUUCAUGCUUUUAGUCCCACCAAUAAACAUAACACUGGAAAUAAUUAUUCUAUAUAUUUUUUUUUCAUGUUAUAUCUUUCUUCUAUUUUUACAUUCUUAUUUAUAGCCUCACCUUUAUAUUUUUUGAGUUAUAUAUAUAUAUAUAUAUAUAUAUAUAUAUAUAUAUAUAAUUUUACAUCUUCUACUAUUUUACAUCAUUUGGGACUUUAUAACGCUAAAUAAUAUUUAUUUUUAACCUCUUAAUUUAUAUAUGAUUUAAAUAAAAACAAAAUUCGGUGAUUAAAAAUAUCCAAGGCAUGGAAAUGAGCUUGGGUUGGUUAGUCAUUGUGUAAGAAAUGAAGUUUGGAAGGAGAUUCCAGGAAGCUGUUGUGAAUUUAAGCAGAAAUUAUUCGUGGUUGAAAAGUAGUGGGAAGAAGAAAGGUGAGGCACAACCGUAGAUGCCAGUCACAAUCAUCUGGGAGGAUGCAGUGGCAGGUUCAAUGAACCAGGUUGCCAUAUGCAUACAUAUUCCUUCCUCAGCUUAGAACCACAACCAAACAAAGUAACCCUAGAAUGGCGUUUUUGGAGUUUACAAGACUUGAUGAAAGGUCAGUGAUAGAGUACGUGAAGAGCGUCGCCGCCCUCUCCUCCUUGCUGAAGCUGGACGAUGAGGACGCCGCCACCGAGAAGCUAACCGUGAAAGAGAUCGGAGAUGGUAACCUGAACUUUGUGUUCCUGGUGAGCAACUCUUCCCAUUCCGUUAUCAUGAAGCAGUCUCUCCCUUACAUUCGUUGCAUCGGAGAAUCAUGGCCACUGACGAAAGACAGAGCAUACUUUGAGGCCAUGGCCCUGGAAGAACAGGGUCGCAUCACCCCUCACCAUGUCCCACAACUCUAUCAUUUUGACCCAACCAUGUCCUUGAUCGCCAUGCGCUACCUUCCCCCUCCCCACAUCAUACUCAGGAAAGGCCUCAUCGCUGGAAUUCAGUAUCCGCUCCUCGCACGCCACAUCGCACACUUCAUGGCAAACACUCUCUUCUUCACUUCUCUCCUUUUUCACUCCACACUCGAUCACAAACGCCAAGGUCAAUGCUUUAACAAACCCAAUUCAUCGUUUGCCUCUGCUUUCAUUCAAGUCCUAACCUUUUGGCUGAUUCUUGUUUCUAGUUGCAAAAUUCUGUGGGAAUUCCGCCUUAUGUAGGCACACUGAGCAGGUUGUUUUCUCCGACCCUUAUCAAAUUUCUCAAUACAACCACUGGACUUCUCCCUAUCUUGAUCCUGAUGCCGAAGCUCUUCGUCACGACAAUCUCCUCAAGCUUGAAAUUGCUAUCCUCAAAUCUAAGUAUAUGCCAUUCCCACACUCUACUCUGCUAUGCUCUGUUCUGCUCACGCACAUCAACUUUCUAAUAGUUUUUGCUCCUCCAGGUUCUCAGAGCAGGCCCAGGCACUCAUUCAUGGGGAUCUGCACACUAGUUCUGUCAUGGUUACUCUCGAAUCAACUCAAAUCAUUGAUCCAGAAUUUGCAUUUUAUGGACCAAUGGGUUAUGACAUCGGUGCUUUCUUGGGAAACUUGAUGUUGGCUUUCUUUGCGCAGGAUGGACUUGUUGAUCAACCCGAUCAUAGAAAAGUACGUCCAAUUCUAGUAUUGACAUUUUAUCUGAUUCUUAGACUUUCUCUCGUUAAGCUGUCAAAAACAGAAACUCUCUAUUUAUCUGAACAAAAUAAUGAUUUUGCAGGCAUAUAAGGAGUGGAUUCUUGAGACAAUCGAAGACACUUGGAAUCUCUUCUACAAAAAUUUCGUUGCACUUUGGGAUGAACACAGAAAUGGUGCUGGCGAGGCAUAUCUUCCAGCAGUUUAUAACAAUCCUGAGGUUCAACUCCUUGCGCAGAAGAGAUACAUGACAGAAUUGUUUCAUGACAGUCUUGGAUUUGGUGCUGCCAAAAUGAUAAGGUGAUAUAAUUUAACAAAAGAAUGGAAAAAGAAAAUGAAUUAGAUAAAAUUAAUGUAUGUAUGUACGUAUGUUUGACAGGAGAAUCGUAGGAGUUGCGCAUGUUGAAGAUUUUGAAUCCAUUACUGAUGCUGCUAAACGGGCUUCCUGUGAACGGAAGGCUCUUAACUUGGCUAAGAUGCUUCUCAAAGAUAGAACAAAAUUUGAAGGCAUUUCUCAGAUUGUUUCAGCAAUUCGGCAAUUUUAGUAUACACAAGUUUUUCACUAACUACUAUGAUGUGAUUUUUAGGAGAAUAACGGUGUCAUAAUAUAUUUUUAUAUUCGACAUAGAAAAUAAAGAUAAAAUGAUUGUAAAAAUAUAAAAUUUUGUACUUUAAAAAAAAAAUAUUAAAUAAAUGUAUGAUUUUAAUAUCUUGUAUCUUUCCUCACUUAAUUUAGAUUUUUAUUACAUGGUAAAAGUUUGUACUUCUCUUAUUUAUAUUAUAAAUUGAUCGAUACAUAAAAUAUAUUUUUUCUUUCCAAAUAGAAAUUAUGUAUAAAAACACGAUUUUUAUUUUUUAAUAUAUAAUUUUUAAAUUGUGAAUGCAAGCACGCUAUUUUUUUUUUCUAAAUUGAUGUCUUUACCUUUUAAAUUUGGAGUGGUUUAAGUUGUGCGUAAAUAUAUAUUUAUUUUUCUCACAAAAAAUGUUUUUAUUGUGGAAGGUUAUCAUAGAAAAUAGUCCAUAAACGAUUUUUAUAUUUAUUUAUUUAUAUGUUCAAUGCCAUUAAUAUUUAUUAUUCAAAUUAUUAAUCUAAUUAUUAUUAUUUAUUUCUUAAAACACAUUCAAUUAAUACAGUUUAUUUAAUUAAUAAAUCCAAACAUCUAUUUAAAAUUACAAACCAUCUAUACAUUUUAAAAUUUUCUAAAUUUUUAAAUGACAAAAGAAGCGGUUCUUUAAAAGAAACCAAACGAAGUGAAAUUUUGUUCUUAUUUUCUUUAAAUCAGUUCGUUAAUGAAGACACUAGUUCAGCUUCUUCUUCUUCUUCUUUUUUUUUUUCAAAAUGAAUAACUAUUUUUAAUUACUUUUGAAAAAAUUGAAAAAAAUAUCACCAUCUACUUAAAAUAAGAUAUUAAGCAUUUGAUCGGGGAAUUAUCUCAAUUUUAACAAAAUAUGAUACCAUGUCAUGGUGGUUGUAGAAAUUAAAUUAUAUCAUAUUCAAUUAAAUUUAACCCUUAAAUACUUUAAAUAUUAAUAAUAAAUAAAUAAAAGUAAGAUUAUGAUUGUAAUUAACAAAGAAUGAUAGUCCUAUAUUAAUAUACCAUUUAAAGAAGUGUUUGAAACGUAAUAAAAGAAAAAAUAAAAUAGAAAUGAUAAAAUGUUCUUCAAAAAGAAUAAAGCCCCUCUGAAUGACUGAACAAUAUAGUCUUUUGUUAACAAAAAUUCAUCAAUCUAUCUAAACUUGCUAAAAUUUCAUUUAAAUUUCAACUUUUAGUGACCUAUUAUCAAUAAAAUUUAAUCUAAUUCAUUCGUUAAUGUUUUUGUAAUAAUUAAAAAAAAAUACCCGUGUCCACAAAAUUAUUUUAAAAAAUUGACUAUCUUUUACAAAAUUUUCUCUUUGAAUCGCUUUAAAUAAACUCUAUUUGUAUGUGAAUUUGUGAUAAGUUAAAAAAAAAAUUAUUAUAUAAAUAAAGUAUAUUUGAAGAAUACUUACAUGAAAUAUGUGAGAUGUCGAGGAAAUAAUGAUAAAAAGAAAAAAUAUAGUAAGGAGUGAAGGAUGAAAUGUAAUUUAAGCUUAGAAGAUAAGUUUAUAAUUACACGUAUAAUUUGAAUAAAGAUGUUGAUGAGAUUACAUAGAGAAAAUUGAAGAAAUGGAAGUGUUGUUGUUCAGUGACCGCGUCCUCUGUGGCUUGGACCAGAGUAAGCUCUCUCCAUUAUUACAGAGAGGAAGAAGGAUGAAGAAGAAGACGGAUCAUCUUUCAGCGGUCUCACUCCCUCAACGUUCAUGGAGAAAGAGGCCAAAACCAAAAACAUUACCACAAAACAAUAAUAAACACUCUUCAUUUUCUUCCAAUUCUCAAUGAAUCAUGCUCUGCAUCUACAUCUAUCAAUAUAUAUAUACACCUUUGUUCUUUGACUUUCCUUCUCAGCUUUGAAAUUUGAAGUUUUCAGCAGUAAAGAUGUAAUAUAGAAUGAGACUUGUUGAAGGGUUUAUAGCUUCUACACUACAACCUACCCUCUUCUUUCUCUCACCUUAUUUCUCUUCUUCAAAAUACAUCAACUUAUUUUUAUAAUCACACAUUUUCCAGCUGCUUCAAAGUUAAGUUUAGAUUAUAAUAUUCAUAUUUUCCUAACCUCAGUUCUUUGAAAUGAAAAAGGUAUUUAUUAUUAUAUUACAGUAAUGUAUUCUUUCAGAAGGAAUGUUUUUUAUAUUUAAAUUAUUAAAAUAAGUAAAUAAUAUAUUAUAUAGUUUUGGAAACAUGGAUGUGUCUUUUUUGGACUGUACAUCCUUUUCCCAUUAGAGAAGUAAUUUAUGAUGAUUGGACAUGAGAAUGAGAUAGGAAUAAUAAUGGGGAAGUAUGCACAAAUUGUUUACCUUCAAGAUUUUUGCAUCAUUUUAGCUUUUCACGUUUCCACCAAAUCUUACAAAAACCUACCAACCAAACAACUAUCUCUGACCAAAUUAUAUUAAGUUCUUUUUCUUGUAUUCAUAUGUAUACUAUACUACAUACGUACCUUAAUCGGGUUUCCGUUAAGAAAAUCGUUCUAUUAUUCUUUACCUUUUUAUUUUAAUAAUUCCAACUACUGUUAAAGUCAAACACAAACCAGCUUAACUCGCGUAUCUCACUUUUACCUAUAGUAGUAUGUCAGAAAAAGUAGGUAUCAAUCAUAUUAAAAAGUCAGGCAACUACGUAAAUUCAUUAUUAUUUUUUUCUUUAUUGAAAAGCUGAUGCCGGUUUAUACUAGAAUACUACUCUACUUUUUAAUUAAACAAAACUUUAUUAGAUAUUUUUAUAAUAUAUGUAAAUGAUUAAAUUUUGAUUUUGAUUCGUUAUUUUUUCCUUUUUAUUUCCUUAAAAAUCUGUAAUUUCUAAUAUUGUAUGAUGCUAUUUAUUAAAUUAUGCAUUAAAAUAAAAGUCAAAUCAUCAUUUCAAGUAAUACAUAAAAGUAUCGUGAUGUAUAAUCGACCUAUAAUAUUUCAAAAACAAAAUAAAAGUUGUGAAAAUAAAUGCAGUAAUUUAAUAAAUAAAAUCGACAUAUAAUACUCAACAUCUCUAAAAGCAGUAAUAAGAUGAGUAUUAAUAAUUAAUAGUAAUGUAAUAUUUUAGAAGGAUGAAAAUAAAAAAUAUUUAUAAGUAAAUAAAAUUAAAAUUGACAUAUUUUAUAAGAAUUAGAAAUAGUGAUUUGAAACUUCAUAAAAUCAAGAAACAAAGAAAAAAGUUGCGAGGACCAAAAUAAAAAACUGAACACCCAUUUAAGAUGAAACAGUUCUGAUUAGUUUUUUUUUUGUUUUUGUUUUUUUUUGUUUUAGAUAAACAGUUUUAAAAAUUACCAAAAUCUGUAGAUUUUGAAUAAAUCAUGGAAUACAAACAUUAGGAAUAUUUGAUGAUAAUACUAGCAAAUUUUAUAUUAGAAAGUGGUUGGUUAUUAAUUAAACGUUUUCUCAAUGUUGUGAAUAACAGAGUGACUUUUCAGUUAAAAAGUCUUAUAUGAGUUAGUUAAACCAUAAGAAGUGAGACGCAUGCGUAUUUCAAAAGUCAACAAUCUCUCAAUCAGCAAUUCUUUCAAGCAAAAAACUAAUAAGCAAAUUCGUAUAUUUUACCACCAACAGUUAAACAGCCACUCUUAGAAGAAUGAAUUGGUUUGGAUCAAACUUCUCCGCUUCACGCUGCUUCCAACCUGAUAAACACCACUAUUCAAUAGCAAAUUAUAGAAAGAAAAAUAUAGUUUGCCACCCUUUUUUAAUAAUAAAAUAAACUAAACUAAACUAUUCAAUAAAAAAUUAAAUAAAAUUAUUCCAUAAAAGUUUAAUAUAAACAGUCAUAAGUGGUUACAGAUCAUAUAAAAAAUAAUAAGACUGUUCACAGAUCAUAACCCUUUUCUUCUUCUCUUACCAUUACAUCACGUCACGUGACAUCUAUUACAUACUCUUUUUCUCUCUUUACCUUUUCCUUUUCAUCCUCGAGACUCUUCCUUCCAUCUCAAUCCAAUCCGAAAGAACGGUGGCAAGAAAACUACUCUUCCGAGAGGAGUCUGGGAUUUAGUGUUUUUACCCAGUGGUUGCCUUCAAGUUACGUGUAACAGCAAAAAGUAUGGUACCCAAUCCCCCAUAUGCCUUUACUUGCAGAAAGUGCCUUUUUAAGGAGACUGAGAUACAGUCUUUCAAUUUCAGCGUGACACCCUGUCCAUAUCCGAAGAUAACCCAAAUCUGUUAAAAACUAUUGAUGAUUAAUACAUAAAAAUGAUAUUUCUGUACUGGACACCUGUACAGCAGUCUGAUCCUUCAACAUUUACACAUCUAUCAAAACUCACUAAUAUUUUCAAUUUCAUGUUCAGUGACAGCAGGUCAUAAAUCCCAAGUUAUAUUGGAGAGGGAUAACUGCACAAUUUCAAUCAUAAUUGUAAAAGAUGAGUGCAUCCAUAGAAUACUGUACCAGAAAAACUCCAGCUACAUGAAUUAUCUCUGCCUCCUCCUACACAUGUUUAUUAGGCAGACUAAAGAUUAACAAACCUAUAUACCACACCAAACCAAAUUACGUACACAUAUUGUUGUAAAAAAAUUACCUCUUUUUGCUAGUAGCAAUUUAUACAAGCAGCUUCUGUAUUGAUUUAAUCAGACGGUUCUCCAAAAUGACUAAAUCUACCCUUUCCAGCUGCCACUGCAACAAUAAUUUCUAAUUCAACAGUUAUGAAAGUGUUGUCCAGCCACAAGAAAAACCUCAAUUCUGCUAUUGUAAGAGUUGGGAAGAGGAAAGGAGAAUGCAUUACAAAGAAUUAUGAUUUUCAUGAUGCUAGAUAGAAUAAAUCUAAUGAUAAAUAUCAGGAGCAUCAGCAAGCAAAUAAGGAUAAACUAAAAAAGAAAGUAAAAGGUCUGGUCAUUAAAACCAGUAAAACUAACAACUUAGGAUAGCUGGACAUUCAAAUCAAGUAAAAUCUAAGCAGUUGUAACGUACAGCUCUAACUUCGUGAGUGUUUUUCAAAAAUAAGUCCUAUAUUGACCAGAGAUAGUGCGAUGAUAAUGUAUAUAAAUAAGGGGAAAACAUCAUCCUAUGGGCUAGCUUUUUGGGUUUGAGUUAAAACUUAAAAUUUAAAUUCUAUCAUGUCAGGUCAUAUCCUAAAUCUGUUAUUGGGUGACCCAUCUUAUAUUAUCCGUGCACCAAACUAAUAAUGCUUGGUGAGAUUGAAUAUAUUAGGGGAAAACCUAGUCCCACAUUGAUUAGAGAUGGUACCCAGAUAAGGUACAUAACUAUGAAACAAACAACCCUCACCAUGAUUAGAUUAUGGGGUUAAGUUCAAACUUAAAUUUUAAGACCAUAUACGAGAACUCUCUGGGAAGACAACACACUAGUUUUUUUGCCUACACUUCUUCUGAGUUUGACAGAAGCAACCAUUCAUUUUACAAAAGAAAUGAUUAAAGAGAAAAGUUAACAUACUGCAAAUGGAAAUACAUGUUGCUUAUAAAUACAAAAAAUGGUGUGCAAAUUAUUGUGCUGUUGUGCAAUGCGAAUAAUUCCCUAUACAUACAAUGGUCUACAUGGAUCACAUGAUGACCUCAUUCAGCAGUGUUAAACACAGGCAUAAACUUAUAAAUAUCUCUAGAAACAGAAUAACAAACAAAUGUGGUGAUGCCAACAGUUUUUAUUUAACUAAGUAAUAAAUUAAAUAUACAUUGCAUCUAUAUUAUGAUCAGUAACCAAGACCGGAGAUAGUAUACAAGACAAGACAAGGGAUUAAAAUAAUAAAUAAACAGCAAAGGAGAUUUACAAGCCAUAUUGCACAGUCACAGACAUAUAAUAAAUGUCUAAUUACUUAUGUUAAUGAAAAGUUCGAUAUUUGAAGUUCAACAUCACAAAAAGGUCCCAUAAAAUCAAUGGAUGACAAAACAACAAUUCAUACAUGUUGAAUAGAUAGUAAAAGGCAGGCAAUGGAACAUAAAAUUUCAAAUUUAUCAACUAGUUUAAUGUUUGAUUAAAUGACUAGAAAUGCAAGAUUCAUUAAGAUAAGCCCAUACGCUGAAGAAAAUGUUUAGGUAUCACAUUAAAGUUGGACAUACUCUGCAGCACAUCAGCCGUGAAUAACAGCUUUUAAAUUGAAUCUGACCAAAUAUACCGAUUUUGCUCAAGUUUGCCAUAGCAAGAAAAGAACUUUAUAAGUUUCUACUAUGAGGGUAAAAGUAAAGUCCCUCCAUAAUUGUCAUCAACUGCGGCCUACAAAAUUUGAACCAGAGUACUGUAUUAACAGAAAAAAAAGAAGCAUACCAUGUGUUUUAACUACACAAACUCCUUAUUAAUAUAAAAUGGCAUAAUAAACCACGUGUUUCAACCCAUUUAUAAAACUCUGUUUCUACGCACAACUCUUUGGCACAUAACAUAAUUUGGAAUAAGAUUAGACAUUUGGUGUAAAGCACAUGACCAAUUCCUAACAAAUAUUUUGUGGAAUUAGGUUCAUUCACAUGAUUUUCUUUCUCUUGAUUCAUUUCUAUCUUUGUAGUGUUAUUUAGGAGUUUAUCGUUCUCUUUGUAAUGUUUUAUGUUCAAUUGACCAGCCAAAUAAAUUUCAUUAUUUUAUAAAGAAACACACCACUUUUUUAACUUGGAAAUUGCAAUUUCAGUAUUUAAAAGAUACUAACCAGGACUAACAAAUACUAGGUCCCACAAAUUAUGUUUUGUUAAGUACGAAAAUGUUGUUUGAUUGAUAAACAACAGAUGAUGGUAAAAGAGAAAGUAGGCUGAAGGAAUACCUGAAGGUAAGGAUAUACAGUAUCAUAUACUUGUAGGAAAAAUUGGGACUUGGCCGCAAACCUGAAAACAAAACAUGUUUUAAUCCACAGACUGUCACAAAAAUAAUCUAUAAAAUCUAGUAAGUAAAAUUACUUUGAAAUAUUACCACAGCUUUCACAUUUUUUUUAAUAGUUAUACUUGAAAAGGGUUAGAUAUAUGAGGGAAAGAGAUCUUUAUUGAAUUGAUUGAAUUUAAAAACAGUACAUGGGCAUACAGUGAACUCUACCCCUCCUAGAGUAAUGAUAACAAAGAUCUCUAAUACAUUGCAGUACCAUACUCAUAACGAUUACAGUAUCGUCUAGUAACAAAAUAUUUUCUCCUAGCUCAAUAAGAAUGUAAUUGUCGUUAAUCAAAUUCAAAAUAUAACAGAACUCUCAGGAAUUUACCAAAACUCCAAUUUCACUUGACUUCACAGGAUAAGUGGAAUUUACCAAAAGAUGGGUUGACGGUACAGACACAAAAUUAAUUAACUAGCCUUUUUUAAUCCAUUCCAGCCUCUAUUUUUAGUUUAACAAAAUCUCCAUCAAAAGUGACGGAAUAAAUCUAACAAACAAAUUGAAUAAAAAGAUGUGGGAAGAAUAAGGAUAAAAGCACGUGAUUAUGUACGAAAACAAUAAUAAACAGAAGGGUGCCAUGCUAACUUCCAACAUUAACAUACCUUUUCAGAAGUCGGAAACAUAUAUAAAUCUCUUCAAUAUCUCUUUCAAUCUUCACUUUGAUAUACUGCCUCAGUAGCUCACACAUAAUGUCAACAGUUUCAUCAGAAAACUGCUGGGCCAGAUUUAGCUCAUAGAAUUCAGAUAUAAUUUGGUGCAAAACUGAAGACAAUGUGUUUGCCAACCCUGAUCUUAAAUACAUUUCUGCAAGUUUCUUUAAAAUUAAGCAACUGCCACCUUUGAACUUCUCAACCCAAUUUGGAGGAUUUCCAACCCAUAGACUGUCAUUAUUAUAACUACAUAUAGGAGAAUUAUCAGAAACUUCAACGCCUACUGACAACGAAUGGUUUUCAAGAGGUGGAAUCACAACAUUGGAGCAAAUAUCUGGCCUCCUGUGUGCAGGAAGCUGCUCAACAAUGUCAGCUUUAAAAUCCUCAGGCAAUUGUUGAAACACUGAACCAUCAACUUGACUCAAAGAAGAAGGAAACAAAUCAUUGUUUUCAAAACUAGAAUGGUGUGUAAACUUGAAAUUGGGUCCACGGACUGAAUAUGGUAUAGUUUCGCCUUCACUAUUGCUCGACACAUAUUGCUUUGCCUAUUAGUAAACAUGACAUAUGUUACCAAAUAAAACACUUAGAAAAACAGAGCAAUAGAUACAAAUAAAAGUGUUAAUGUUUCUUUCAGUUUAAUGACUAAUUGCAUACAAACUGCAAAAACCAUCAAAAUAAAGGUAUAAAGAAGGAAGACUGAUCAAUUCAACCAUAUAAUUUGAUUAGCUGUACAUGAAGUGGAAAACAUACAGAUUUAGGUAGGGAAGAAGAAAAUGAGAGAAUAUGAAUAAUAAAUAAUAUCUCUUGUGUAUUACAAUUUACAAUGUGAUACAAGAUUCAAAACUCUAACCCUAUUUAUGCUAUCAGUUAAAAACCUUUAUCGAAAUCAAAUAAGAAAAAAAAUUGUAACAAAAUAUGAAUCCAAUUCUAAGAUAUUAUCCAAAGGUGAGAUAAGACAUAAUAAAAUAGGGAAAAUUCUUUACCUUGUUUUUUGAUAAUAAAUUGCCUUGAGGAAUCGGUUCAGAAUAGGAAGGUUCCUCUUCGUUGUUUAUCGCUGCCAACAAAAACAAAUUGAAAGCAUGGGUGACAAGUUUGAGUAGAGUAUAUAGCUUGCACUAAUGAAACAGAAAACGCUUACCUUUUUGCUCACAAAAUGAGUUUCCUGAAAGGCUGGAGCUCUCACUUGUGUUUUUCCAGUUAGCAAUAUAAUCAACUAACUUCCCUCUGUAAAUUUCAUUUAAUUCUGAAAAUACAUCCGGGGGAAGAUUCCUUAUAACUUCAAUGUCAAGGUUACAUAAGGGGGGCGGUGUUGAAAUUGGGUCAGUACUAGCCUCAUUAGCUGGUAUUUUAUUGUCCAUUUCCACUGAAGACUCUAGCAAAUUUACACAUGCAAGACUGGAAGUGUUAUCCCUGCUGUGCUUGUCAUUACCUAAAGAAAGAGCAACGACAAAUGUUUGUGUAUUAAUUCUAUCAUUCAUAAAACGUCAAAAUGAACAAAAAAAAGUAAAAUUUAUGUGUAAGAAAAAAUAUCCAAACAAUAACAAGUAACCCCUGUGUGACAUUGUCCAUCACCCAUAGAAUAAAACAACAACAACAACAAAAGCCUUAUCCCACUAGAUGAGGAAAUUUAAGCUUAAACAAAUAGGGGGUGCCAUUACCUAUAGGAUAUGUCUGAUUUCCAACACCAGCAGAUGCAGAAGUGAGCCAUGAUUUCAAAGUAUAUUUUGUUGUACCUUUAUGAAAUAGAUAAAACCAUACAAUUAUAUAGAAAUUCAAAUUACAUAAAAUAAGAAAAGAAAAGCUCAAAACGAAGAAAAAAAGUUAAGAGAUUCCACAAUACUAAAUUAUUGAAAGACAGAAAGAUGAAGAACAAUAAGGUUGCAGAUCUCAGCAACAGGCAUUCCAGAUAAAUUUAAUUAUGUGCACAAGCAAAUAAUAUGUUAUUCCAACACAACUCGUUAAGAUUCACUUCAAAAAAUACAGAUACCUCGUUUAGAAGCUUCUGCACUUUCAAGUCUGGAAACUUGCAAGCCAAUACCUCGAAUCUCCUUGACAUCUACAUGAAAUUAAAACAAAAAAGACAAGACGAACAUGAACAUAUGUGGAUUCCCUUACACAAAUCAAGGCUGAAACACUAAAUAACAUGAACAGGAAGAAAAUACCAUCAUAAAAUUAAAUAUGAGGUCCAAAGAAACAAUCACCAACCACCUUCACCAUGCAAGCAUUUAUCUUAGAAUAUGAUACACUGUCUGCGGCCCAGAGCCAUUCACCUAAGUGUCUAACGAACUUUCAGUUUAAACCCAUGACCAAUACUUACUCGGUCAAUCAUCAGCUAUGCACCUAAAAGAAUGACUUUACAUCAGUAUCACAACCCUCUAGGAAAACUAGCACUUUGAACUUGAAUCAUGGGUAAGCACUGGCCAACUAUAACUUUAAAUGGCAUUUUAAUUUAAUUAAGAAUGUAAGUGGAAAUUAUUUUUCCUAGCAACUUGAUAAUAUAAGCUCUCCUAAAAACUUAAAUUAAGAGAAGGAUGCUCAUUGUAUUAGGAUUCCCUUGUCAAUACACAGCUUUUAUAUCAGGAUUCAAGUCAUAAAUCAAGAGAUGAAUGCGACUGAGCAAAAUGGAACCUAGGGGAUUUCCGAAAAGCCAGGACAACCUCUAUAUAUCUGUUGUACAUGCUACUAUGAAUUAACAAAAAUAGAAAAAUAUUGAUAAGCAUCCAAACACUAAGAAACCCACCCUCAAUUAUUUUUUAGUGUUCUUUUCAAGUCAAACCUUGUAACUCCACAUCUAUGGUACAGUAUCUCAUUCUAUAUUUUAUUGACAUAGUAUUGUUCUUUUUUUAACUCUAUUAGGUAGUUGUAGAACAAAUAAGAAUAUUUCAGGAGAGAGCGUUUGACAAAAAAGGAGAUGGGCUGACGAAGUCAAAUGAUCCAUAUUUCUAACCUCACCCAAUCCCCUAAUGAAGUUGGUGUUUCUUCAAUAACUAGUUUUGUUCAAUGAUUUCAAAGAGGCAAGCGGAUCAAAUCCCCCUUUCUCGUUUUUGCCUUAGUACUUGAAAAUUUUUAAGUUGUCAUGACUAAAUUAGCCUUGAAUUGAAUACUUAUAAUGGUUUUGUUUGUCUUUUGUGAGAUUAUAUAAAAAUUAAUUUAUUUUCUCUCGUCUCCCCUCGUUUUAACCGAACAGAGUCUAUAUCAAUUAUUAACAAAAGCAAAUGCAGUAAAUGAUUCACACAUCUAAAUAUAAACCAACAGAUUCCAUACUGCCUAGUUUUACAUUCAUUAAAAUGGCAGAAAACAUGUAUGCUCACAUCAGCUAAUAGAAAAUACUUUUUAUUUUUGAAUGUUUCAUGACAAAACUUUGAAAAGAGAAGAAAAAUAUAUUGAGCCAGAAAUAAGGUUUGCCAAGCCUGGCAUACAUUAAAAGAAUAAGCAGGUAUGAGUUAUGAUACCUAUGUUAAAACAUCCAAACAGCUGCUUUACAAUUCUUUGGAGUAUUUCCACGUUAUCAGUAGCAAGAGGAACCUAUGAUGAGAAAAUCAAACACAAGAAAUUGGACCUUAAAACAAUUAAUAAAACACUUGUAUAAAGAAAAUAUGACAGUUCAAUAUACAGAUUAACACUUGUUAUUUUCAAAUAUUUACCGUUAUAGAGUGACUCAGAUUUUCACAGUCCCCACAGCCCAUAAACUUUGCAGGUUCACCAGCACCUUUCCUUCUCUUUUUGAUCUAAAGCAUAUUUACAAGAAUAUUUACAAAUAAUUUGUAGACUCAAGAUAUAAGAAACAUUAUGAUAGAUAAUAAUACAGAAGUUUCAAAAAUUUAACACGACAUGAAAAGAAGCUUGCCAGCUAGAACAGAAAGCUGAUUUCUGAAUAAUCUAAAAAACAAAACUUAUCAAGCUUAAAGUAAACCAACACCUUCAGAGUGAAUGUGCGCCCCUGCACUCCACAACACUGCAAUCGUAAUGAGACCUCCUUGCAAAGACUUAUUAGAAAGUGUUCACACUGGAAUAACUUUUAUGUCAACAUUUUGAGUGAUUUUUUUAUACAGUAAGGUUUAUAAAUAUAGAAAAAUGAGUGUAAGAAAAUACUAACAUCUUUUAUAUCUUUGAAUCUCACUCCCCAAUUUACAUCAGCACCAACGGUCUUGCUUUCCUGCAGAAAUGUGGAUGUCAUCUUAAACAAGUUUAUCAGGAGAGAAUAAUAAUCACAGGAAGAAAAAGUGAUACAACACAUUUAAGUUAGAAAAUUAAAAGUAAAAUGUGAAACCACCAGCCAGUGGCACAAUUAUUUCACAUAAUGUUUUGGGGCAUAGCAUUAGCACAAUCAAUCAUUUUGAAAUUUACAAUGACCAAUUAUGGUUUUAUUAUUUGUACUAAACUGACAAUUUAUAAACCUCAGCCAUUUUUUACUAUUACACUUGUUAGCCAAUCCCUAGACAAGGACUGGAAUAGAUAAAAAAAAAAGAUAUUGUUACAGAAAAAAAAAUGGUGGUGUAAAAUGGAAGGCAAAAGAAAACAACAUUCAAGUGUGGAUUCAUAUAGAGAAAGAAAGAAAAAGAAAAGCAACACAUGCAUAUAUUAUAGUAUACAACAAAGUGGAACAAUUUAAGAUGGAAGAAAGGAGAAAAGAAGCAACGUGUGCACACUCACACAAGUUACAUACCAUUACAUAACAAAUUGGCACAGUGUAAAAUGAAAGGAAAAAUAAAAGAAUCAACAAGCACAAUGUCGUAGACAAAGGCAUAUACAUCACUCUAUCUUUGCCUCUCUCUCACACGUAUAGUGUACAUACAUACACAUAUCCAAAGUAUACUAAACCAAGUCAAAUCAAAAUGAGAAGAAACAAUGUCUGGAUUUUAGAUAAAUAUUCCCCACCUGAAAGUUCCCAACUAACCGGUUAUCAAUUCCUCUGCUAUAAUUCCACAGCAUUUCUCCUGUUUUUAUACCAUAGUCCCUCUGCAGUGAGGCCUGCAGAUUCAGAGAAAUAAGGGUAUACUACAAUUAUUACAAAUUUUUUUCAAGUACUGGUCAAAAAAGAAGGUGGAACAUGACUACAACAGAGUAUCCAAGUAAAUGAACCAAGUAAAAACAUAACAAAUUUGUGCUAAGGAUUAAAUACUUGAAAAAAAUUGGGACUAGUUCUUUAAGAUUAUUCCCUCAAAUUUAAGCCAAAUUUUAAAUAAGUAAAUAAUAUUUUUUCGCAAGUUUCUUUUCACUUUUAGUAAGGAUUCUAAAUUCAUGAGUCAAACCAUCUCCUUCCCCAACGCAAGGGAAAAGAUAAAUGUCUCAAAGCAGAGGAUGAACACAUUGAAAGACCUUUGGAAGAAAGUCAAGGAACAACAACUUUUAUAAAACAAUAGAAGGAAAAUCAGAAGAACCUAUAAAUUGAGAAAGUGAAUGAAGAGUAAAACCUUGGAAAUAAUGCGUAAUUGUCCACAAGUGUAAAUAUUCUGUUUCUUCAAUUUCUCCUGCAAAACAUGUCCUAUUCCUGGAAGUGAAUUAAUUGGGAGUUGGCAUAAAUGAUCUUCAACCUGGAAAGGCAAAACUGACUAAAUGAACAAGGUAGCACGUUGACACAUUCCACUCGUCAACUAUAAUAUCAAAAUGCAUAAGCUGCACAAAAUAUAAGUAGGAGUGAACUACAACAGCUAAAAUCACACUUGAUGACAUGAUCAGUGUCCCAUUUUUUUUUAAUAAGUUGAUCUUUAAAAUGAUCAAAACCAGACAAUAGAAGUUGAAAAUUGCAAUAUAAAUCACCGUACACAUUUUCUGGGGAAGUGUAAAUUGUCAAUUUUAAUGCAUCCAAAAUACAGGUCAUACCUAAAAUUAGCACCUUUGAGGAAAAUUCAAAGCUUCAAGGUCUAGAGUAGUAGAAUCCACAUCUAGCAUGGCACUACUCUGUAAGUUCUCAUUGAAUUUUAUUUAAAAUACAGAAAAUCCAGUUUCCAAAUCCAAAAUAAAAUAACAAGAGCAACAAUUGGCAUUGAUAUUUGAAUUUGCAAAUAUUCAAAUGUAAGCACAAGUUUACAGCAUAAAACUCAAAAUAACACACUACUAUGGCCCCAAAAAAAAAUAGAAAAUUAAUUAUAAAGAAAGAGGGUGUGGAAAUUGUAAUAUGAUUUGCAUUAUACCUUCAUUAUGCCACAAAUAAAAAUUGAAAAUUAAAAAAACGACAAAAUUAUGAAUAAAAGAAAACCCAAAGGAUACCUUUUCUGUAGUUAUGUAAUAUUGACCAUUUGGUUUUGCAGUUCUAGUAGCAAUACGAGCCAUAAGCAUAUUUCCAGCUAUACCAGCACUAGCUGUGCAUCCGGUGGUCUUAUAGAUCUCUUCUCUAAUAGAUGAAGCUAAAAGUUUGGGAUCUUCAACCUCUAAAUCUGUGACAUCUAAAAAUGCUUCAUCACAGCUUACAGCCUGCAUCAAGUAGCAAUUACAGCAUUAAGGACGACUCAACAGAAAACUUUAUGCACUUGAACAAUGUCAAAUCAUAAGACCUGCACUUUGUUGCAAUGCUGAUGCAAUAUACUAUAAAAUUGAUCAGCUACCUGCAAAAUGUCAAAGACACAUUUGUAAAAUUUCAUAAAAGGAAAAAAGAUACAAAGACAUGAUGACAAAAAAAAAUAUUCUGAAGCUUCCAGUUACAGACACCCUACUGAUUCUUACUUCCUCAUAAGCUUCAAAGUUGUAAGGAAAGAUAACAAGUUGGGGACAAAGAGCCUUGGCAUCUCGAACAAACAUACCAGCUCUAAUACCUAGCACAUGAGCAAAAAAAUAAGUUGCAUACAAAAAAGUUAUAACAUAGCUUACUGAGCCAUGCUAUGAUAUAUAACUUGGCACAUAACCAACCAUGACUACGAGCUGGGUAGUUAGCAGAAGAAAUCUCAGCAGUUCCAUUUGAGUUAUUUGAAUGAGACACAGCUACAGGCUGAUCCAACAAUUCAGGGUGGUUCCGAAUAACAACUGAAACAAAAAAACAGUCCUGGGACAGCAUAUGGGUAUAGAGUUAAAUGGCAUACCUAACCAAAAUCUGAAAAGGAAAAUUAGUUGACAGCAAUAAUUUUUUUGAACAGCCUUGUAUUUAAAUCUUACCAUGUCAACAUGGAUAAUAACUGAAUUUGAAGAAGUAUUAGAGGCACUAAUAUUAGAAUUUUCAUUCUUAAACCCAGAAGACAAUGCAGAAAAACGCUUUCGAUACCGAUUUCGCCAGGUUCCUAUAAAGUGUAGUCGUGAGCUCUGCAUAAAGCAAACUAUAGUCACGAUAUUGCAAUAACUAACCAUAUGAUUACAUGACACAAUAAGUUACACGACAUAUAUCGGUUUACAUACUUAUAAGAAGGUAAUACCCCUGUCCCAUGUGAUCAGUUGCUUGUUUUUCUAUCUUUGUUUACUUUUUUUACAGAUACAGCAAACACAAAAUAUAAUGCACAGGAGUAUUCACUUCAUCCACCUUAUCUAUAGAAGUUCAAGUGAUGAUAUGUUUAGAUGCAAGAAACAAUUAUCAUUGACUUGAAUGUUUAAUUUCCAGUAUAUUUGGCAAAAUAGUACCAAAAAAUUUAGAUUACUGCAAUAACAGCCACAUUAAAAGAAAAUAAAGUGGGGCCAUCAACAAGAAAGUCACCAUUUCACGCACCAAGCAAUAUGAAAAUUCAAAAUUCUUGUAUGUUUAAACUUCACUACCUUAAAAUAAUUUUCCACGAAAUUGGGGUCUGCAAAAGUUGAAUGACACUGUUUAAAAGGCUUAGUGCCUGAAGAACUUGGAAAUUCUCGUGCAUUCUGCUCAUCUGAGCAGUGAGAACUAAAUGAUGUAGAAGGUGCUUGAUGAGUGGGUCCAAGUUCACUUUUGACAUUGCUCUCAUCUUUCGCAGCAGCAUUGCUUCUAGCUGCUUGCUCUUCAUCAAACUUAACUCUUACACUAGUUGGCUCCUCAGUGAUAAUUGCAUUACUAUUCUCAAUAUCACCAGAUGUGGUACUGAUUUGUCCAAUAUGUUCACUCAUUUCCCCAACUUUGGAUAAGUUUCUAUCAUCAGAAUCUGUUUGACCAACCCUCAUAGAUGAAUCUUCAACAUCUGAUACUACUUGACAUAGGGAAUUUGUUAAAGCAUCCUCCGACAUUUUACUACUUUUCAUUGUGAAGAAGGCUGACAGCUUUGAUUGUUUAUUAGCUAGUUGGUCCAGCUGGUAAGGUACCCCUAUCAAAGAAAAAUUUAAAUCACAUGACAUACAACUGUUUGGAAAACCGGAUAUAAUAUUAUCGCGUAUUGAUAUAGUCAGGAGAAAAUAAAUUAAAUGAUAAUUAAAUAAAAGGCAGGAUCAGAUAUUAAAACAUGUAGGAGUUAUUGCUCCCAUGGUCCUUCUUUUCCUCUCAUAAUACAAAGAAUGAAAUGUGAUGCAAGAAAAUGAAACUAAUACAACUGGAAGAGAAAUGAAAAAACUUACAGCUCAGAAGUCUAUUAGCAGCAACAGAAUCUAAAAUCCAAGUGGGUUUUACUACUGGCAACCCUGCACUGAAGGCUCUGUAUUGAAGUAUCCAAUGAUUAAAUUAAAUUAAUUCAAAAGAGAAGGACUCAAAACCUAAAAUUUAAAGAAGGUCAUGAAAUCAAACCUGAGGUUCUUAACUUUACUAUCAGGCAGAUUACUGCAUAUAAUAUGUGUUACACGGUGUCUAGAGAAAUAAUUCUCGAAUCUUCCUCCAUUCUUAAGCAUGUAGCUCCGCAGUUCCUGAAACACGUUUGUAACUUGAGUAGUCCCUUUGGAAUUUUACAAUAAAAUCUGACUGAAAAUUACAAUUUCUUGACACAAUUGAUCCCUAAGCCAAGAAACAGUAACUUCGUAUAAUUGUGAUACUUUCCUGCCAUUCACACAUUCAAGAAUCGGGAAGAGAUACACAGAAUCAACAAAAUGAUAAAUGAAAAACAAAAUAACCUGGCUGGAAGGAACUGUGAAACCAUCAACAAAAAUUGAAACUCCACUGAAAAUAGGCUUCGCUACAGUAGAGUCACUUAAAGAAGACGCGGAAGCCUCGGCGUCAAAUUGGUUGUGUAGUUUCCUAUUCUUCUCUGUCAUAUAACUGCAUUUACUCCAGAGUUAAUUAACAAAUUGAGGUUGAAGACCAAAUACGAAAUUGAAAUCCUAAAAUUAGAUAACAUAGGAAUUGAUAAUAAUAUUGAAAAGAAAGUAAAACAAAAACCUGGCAAAACCGGAGAAGGCGGAAUUUCUUGAAGAAGCGCGAGAACUCGAAUUUGAGCCCCAGACAGCGCCUAGGGUUUUCUGGUUGGUGAUUGUCUUCUUUCUUUUACUGUUCUUUUUAGAGCUAUCGUUGGAGCGGUUGGAAGAUAUAGAAUUAGAGAAACUUCGUUUAGAAUUAGCUGAUCGAGACGAGUCUAAACUCAUUCUGACACAGAGAGUGUCGAUGAAAUGAAAGGAGAAAGGAGAGUUACUCAGCGAGGUGGUUGCCGCUUCCCCUAUUUUUCGAAAGGGGCAUUGUUGUUUGUAGGAGAAGCAACCAAUAAAUAAAUAAAUUUUAAUUUUUCUUAUAAAUAUAUUAACGAGUUUUAUUCUUAAAACCUUCUUUAUUUGAAUUAAUUAUAAUUUUAUCCACGUAUAUCAAAUUCGGUUAUUUAAAUUUUGUCAAUUGCAAAAUUUAACAUACCUUCCACUCGAAAACUAUUGAUCAAAGGGUUUGAUAAGUGUUUAUUAGAAACAUUACUGCACAAAACAGUUGAGGUUUCAAAUUAGCUGAUAUUUUGACAAAACAUUUGAAAAAAAAUAAUUUCAGAUUUUUCUAUUUCAAAGAAGAAGCUAAAAUGAAGCAUGAGAAAAAAAUUAAAGAAAAGGAAUUUUACAAGACUGAGAUUUUAAAAAGAUGUUUACCAAAUUCUUGAGAAAUCUUGUCAUUUGGAUUAGUUUCGUAGAGCUUCCUGUAAUGAAGAUUUUCAUAAUCAAAUGAGACUUUUUGGAAAAAAGAUAAAAAAAUAAAAGAAAAUCAGUACUUAUGUUUUUCAUGCUCAAAGUUCCAGUGAAAUUAUAACUGGUCAAAUUUCUAAAAUUGAAAAACACAGAAAAAGUGAUUAUGAUUGAAGUGAUGAAGAAAACAAAAGAGAAAAAUGUUUAGAAAGAAGAGACAUGUUAGAGUUAAAGAACAUCGUCAUUGGAAUCGCAGGUGACAUGAAGAGCCUUUCCUACGAUUUUUAAAUAACCUCACAUCAAACCCAGUUUAUGGUAAAAACAAAAAGAGUUUAAGCAGAGAAUCAAAUUACCUUCAGAGUUUAAAAGAAAAGAGAAAGGAUAUACGAGAAAGAGCCGUAACACACAGAAUAACUGCAACCUAGAGAGAUCUUCAAUCGUGACAAGAGACAAUAGACACCAGCUUUAAAUAAGAAAAAUUAUGUGACCACUCUUAUUUGUCCAUAUAAUUAAAUAACGAACUAUUAAUUGUUUUGUUAAGUGAAUUUAUAAUUAAUAAUUGUUAAUUGAACUUAUAAUUAAUAUUUGUUGACUGAAUUUUUUUCUUUUUAUUUGACAGUAUGUUUCCUUAGUGUUAAAUAUACAUUACUUGUUAAAACCUACUGAGUCUAGUUAAUGAAUUAGUUAAUGACUAUUUGUUAACUGAAUUUAUAAUUAAUAAUUGUUAACUGAUAUUAUAUAAUUAAUAACUUUAACUGAAUUUUUGUCUUUUUAUUUGAGAGUAUGUUUCCUUAGUUUUAAAUAUAUACUACUUGUUAAAACCUACCAAGUUAAUGAAUUAGUUUGACUAUUUAUUUCUUCUUCCAUCCCAUGGUUUCCUUCUAUACUUCCAAGGGAAUAUUAAAAAACAAAAUUUUUCAUGUUUUACACUUUUUUUUUAUUGCAAACUUCAUAAAUAUAUUUUAUAUUAUAUAAUCUGAAAUAUAUUUUUUAUCCAUUUAUAUAUUUGUGAAUAUAUUAUUAAUCACUUCAUACCUAAAAAUAUGUUACAAGACUGUAGAAUGUAUAAUCAUAAAAUAUAUAUCGAAUUGUGAUUAUAUAAUGAAAAAUAUAUUUUUAAAUUAUGCGAUAUGAAAACAUAUUUUGAAUCUGAAAUAUAUUAAUGAAUUACACAAUUAAAGGAUAUAUUUUUCACUGCAUAACAAAGAAAAUGCAUCAAUGGGUCAUACAAUUCAAGAACAUAUUAUAAAUUAAUGUAUUUUUAAAUUGUUUAAUUCAUAGUUAAUUGCGUAAUAAAAAAGUUUUGCGUGUAAGAUGAAAUCUUCUCUUUUAAGGGUCGGAGUGAUCAUUCUUUAAUUCAGUAACAUUUAUUGCAAUACUUCUUGAACGUCCUUCAAUGUAAAGUUAUUUUUAUUCAGAUUGUAAAGACAUAAUUUAUAAACAUAAUAUAUAUAUAUAUAUAUAUAUAUAUAUAUAAAACUUAUUUUUUAGCUAUUUAUAAACAAUUUUUUUUAUUAUGGUUGAUUUAAUUACUAUUUAAAUAUAAUCAAUCAUGAUUUAAUUUUUAAGUAAGAUAAUUUUGGUAUUAUUUUUUUUAAUUUAAUUCGAUUUUUACAGUAUUUCGAUAGAUUCUCUUUAUAAAGGGUUAAUUGUUUGAUUAAUAAUUAACCGGAUGAAUAUACUAUAAAAAAAAGUAAAAAUUUUGAAUUAUGUAAUUUAUAAUAUAUUUUUCAAUUUCAAACUGUAUUUCACAAUGCAAUCCAAAAUUUCCCCAAUGCAUGAGCAAUUUGAACUUUUCCCGCACUUCAGAAAUUAGGAAAGAAAUUUUGGAGCUAAAAGAAAUCACCAAUACUGGAACAAUUCUAACAACGAAUUCAAAGAAGAAAGUAAAGAAAAUAAAUCACUACAAAAUAUUCAUUAAUACUUACAUUUUUCUAGUCCCAAAUAAUCAUAGCAAGCUAAAACAUAAAUUGAAAUUCAUUUGUGAUGGAAUGAUAAAAAGAAAGAAAAAUAUAUAAUACAUUAUUUAACAUUUGUUUCCCUCUUAGAACAUCUCCCUCGUGAAGUUUGCGUUAAAAUCUUUCAAUAAAAUAUCUUGAUGUGUCGCAUCAUAGUUUUUAAAAUUAAAAAUUUGGUGUUGGAAUAAAAGUCAAUGUUUUCAGUAUUUUUAUUAAAGUUAUAAGAAUUUGAAACAGGCAUAAAAAAGUUAUAAGAGUGUAUGAGUUAUUAAAAGUUUCAUCAUUAUUCAAUCAAAACUUGUAAAAAAUAUAAUACGGUCUCAUUAAAAGUAAUGUGAUAUGAUAAAAUUCAUUCAAAAUAAAAUAAAAUCAUCUUACUCUCUGAUCUAUAUACCACAAUUUUUGAAAAGACAAAAAAAUGCAUACGUGAAUUGAAGACUAGAGAAAAACAAACCAAUAAUGAUAAAUUAAUAAAUUUUAAGUGUAAUUUAACUUUACAAAGAAUAAUUGGAGCUGUUUCAUUUGAAUUACAUAUAGUUAGUCUAUAUUUAGUCAAUUAUCAUCUAAAUGUUGAUAUCUCUCCAAUAAAAGGUGUUUAUAAU
rnacentral:lncRNA from 1 species